UUUUAAAAAAGUCAGUGUUCUUCCAUGUUUGGGAGAGAAAGUCUUGAACAUACUCUUGACCGGUGAUGAUGGUGAAGGAAGAUAUUCAUUUAACUUCAAAUGAUGUUUAGAGGAAAACUUUUAGAAAUAUGUAAUAAGAAAUGAUGUUGAUAUUGUAUUUGGCUAUUGUUUUUUUAAUUAAUUUUUUGAAUUUUUUUCGUGAUUUCGUCGUCUGAGUGCGGUGUUGUGUUGUUCGUCGUCUUGUACGACGUUGUUUUGAUUUAGCGUCUUGUUGCGGUGUUCGUUUGGUUCAUGUUGAAAAAUCAGCUUCAGUCAAUCACAGAUUCAAUCAAUGAUUUGGACAUCAACGUUGCAGAUCCGGAAGCAUGUGUAUUCUGGUGAUUUAAAUUUUAUCAUAUUAUUUAUAGGCAUUUUGUUGUUGAAUGCUAUUAACUUGGAUGCUGUGAGUUUGUUUGCAUAUUCACCCUUUAUGUUUUUAGCGAUCUUGAUUUUGAUAUAUUCUAUCAAUUUGAACGAAUGAAUAUCUUUUUGUUUUUGUCAAAAAAAAAAAAAAAGUCAAUUUUACUUAUAAUUAGGAAUUUUAUUGCCAGGUUUAUAAUUUAAAAUGCAUGGAUAGAAUAUAUAUUUUUUGACAGAAUGGAUAGAAUAUUUUAUUGUUACUUUUUUUUUUUGAAUAAAAGUAUAAGACUUAAAUAUAAGAUAAGAUAAAAUUUAUGCAAAAUUUUAUCACCUAUCAGUAUACACUUCAAUAUUGACUCUUCUAUGUAACGCCCAAUCCACAAAGUUCCAAAACGAAAUGUCUGAACAAUUGCCAUGAGACUUCUUAACCAACGACAUGGAUGUGGGCAUAAAUACACAGCGAAUUAUUUGUUUCAUGUGCCACUCAACUCAUAAUCAUCACCAUGGCAAACACAACAACCGUUGAUGAUUCCUUCGCCAACCAAGUCCAACUUAUCGAUGGUGAAGGAGUUUUCAACGUCACUGGUCUUGAUAAUUUAAUUAAAACUUCAGAUAUGGCCAAUACUGGUCUUGAUUAUGUCGUUGUUAGUAUUAUGGGACCUCAAUCUAGCGGUAAUAGUUUUACUUUCUUGAAGUGCCAUUUGGUGAAAGUGAAAGUUUUAUUAUGCAGUUUUAAUGGUUAUGGUUAUGUCUGUGUUGUGUUGUGUUAUCUAAUUUUAUGGUUCGGUUUUGUUGUUUGAGCAGGGAAGAGUUCUUUGUUGAAUAAUAUUUUCUGCACUAAAUUCGAGGAGAUGAAUGCUCUUACUUGUAGGUUAGGGUUCUGAAUUGCAUUGAUAGAGAUUUUGUUGUUGGAUUUGAUGAAAUUUGUUUUUGUUUUGUUAUAAAUAUUUCAACUUUUUCCUUUUAGUCCCUCUAAAAUUUCGCUUCGAUUUUUGGUUCUCUAAAAGUUUCCCAUAUCGUGUGUGUCAUUCAAUUUUUUGUUUUGUUUUUGACGCUAAAUUUUUUACGUAUAAUUCAUGUUUUCCUUUUUUUUAAAAUUGCUCUUUACACUUCAAAAAAUGCUCUCCACACCCAAAAAAGCCCAAAAUACCUCUAACGACGAUUAACUGUCAUUCACUCAUUAAGGAGAGAACGACAGUUAAUUGCUGUUGGGAGUAUUGAAGGUCUUUUUAGACGUGGGAGAGCAAAUUUGUUGGUGAGAUGAACAAUCAUCAAUUUUUUUUGGAGGGAUUCUUAUAUUAUGAACAUUCUCAAAAGAAAAAAAAAUCAUAAAAAAUUUAAAAUAUAAGUAGGAACAAAAGUGUGGGCGGAUAACUUUUUGCGGUCUAAAAUGAAAAAAAUUAGGAUAUUUAUAGACCAAAAACAUAUUUAAUCAUUUGUUAUAUGAUAAACGAGUAAUUGAAUAUCUUGCCGUUGCAGAUCUCAAACCACCAAGGGUAUUUGGAUAGCUAAGACUGGAAUUAAACCGUGCACAUUUGCUCUGGAUAUAGAGGGUACUGAUGGAAGGGAGAGGGGUGAGGUAAUAUAUUUGUUCUAUAAUAGGGUAUGAAGAAACCUUCAUACCCUAUUAUAGGAUAUUGUUUUAUGCAUGAAUUGCAAGACCAAUCUUAUUAUGAAUUUUAAGAUGCAUUACCAACAAAAAUACGCCUUUUUAGAGUAAAAAAACAAGUGGCAUAGCCAAAUUAUAAGCCAGUAUAUCAUCUUAGUGCCUCAAAAUAAUUCAAGAUUCAAGUACUAAAUCAAGUGACAAAAGAAAAGUAUUUGGCUAUACAAAAUUGACAAAAAUUUGGGGCAACACUAAGUUUAGGUAGUGAUUCAUUACAAUUAAUCGAGAUUCAUCUUAAUGUAUUGGAAUUCAAGAUGAGAUUCAUGUUCAAAUUAGGCACACACUAGAGAUUCAUAUCAAUUAAAUUUAGUUUUGCAUCGAAUCGAGAUACAACUAGCAUUUAUCGUAAGAUAUUGAUAACCUGCAUAGUUUAUGUUCUAUUAUCAAUUGGUGUGGUUCAGUUUAUUAGUUAUUUUAGGUUUCCUUUUGGAUACAUGAUGAGAAUGACUUGACAGUAUAAGAAAAUACCAUAAGUUCAAUGUUCAUGUAUCGUAAGAGAAUGACUUGGUGUUCACAUGUUAAUUUAGCCACAUUUUGUUAAAUCCUUUCAUGGUUGUUCUAGCUUCACUUUACUAACAAGCCUGUUUGCUUAUUUGUGUGUUUUUAGUUAUGUGAUAUUAUUGAGCUGUUCUAUCUCAUUGUUUCAUGUACAUUAAAACUCACUAUUGUUUUCUUUUAAUUUAUCUCUCAGGAUGAUACCGCUUUUGAGAAGCAGAGUGCACUUUUUGCUUUGGCACUAUCAAAUAUUGUUCUGAUAAACUUGUAAGAUUUUAAGCCUUGAUUGAUGAUUUAUAUAAUAUGAAUGCAACACUUGGGUGAUCCAUAAAUUUAGGCAUCAUCUUUUUGUAGUCUUUAGAAACUAGCUUGACAUAAGUCUAUGUGUGGAAUCACAAAUCUCUCUAUCUAACCGGGUAUCUUAGUUUUGUCCUUUAUUUUAUGAACAGGUGGUGUCAUGAUGUUGGUCGUGAACAAGCAGCCAGUAAACCUCUUUUAAGAACUGUUUUUCAGGUAGUUUGCAGCCAUGAAUUUGCCUCUGUUUGGUAUUCAAUAUACACUCUGACCUUUCUUUUAUUUUUAGGUCAUGCUGCGUUUAUUUAGUCCCCGGAAGAUAACUUUGAUUUUUGUGCUACGUGAUAAAACAAAGGUCUAUACAAUUUAUCCUUUAUUGAGAAUGUUUCCUUCUGUUCUAUACUUGUAUUCAAAGAUUGAUCAUGUUUCUUGCUCACUACACAGACUCCGCUGAAGAUUUUGGAGCCUAUUCUAAGAGAAGAUAUUCAAAAGGUGGCUAUUAUUUCAUCUCAUUUCUUAGGUUUUUCAUUUGUUUUCUAGUUUUAUUCAUCAACAUUUUUAAAUCAUGAUAUGAAUUCCUCAGAUUUGGGAUGCAAUUCCAAAACCUCAAGCUCAUGCACACACCCCUCUUCAUGAUUUUUUCAAUGUAAGAAGAAGAUCUAUCUAUCUCCCCUUCCUCACAUGCUUGUUUGACUGUUUAUGUAUAUGUCUUGGCAUAUGAUUAAUAACUCUUCAUUUGAAGGUGGAAGUCACUGCUUUGUCAAGCUAUGAGACCCAAGAGGAGGAGUUCAAAGAGGAGGUACCCUUUCAUGAGCUGUUGCUUGCUUUAUGGAGUUUGUUCAACUUAUCAUUCUAGUUUGUUGAACUAGAAUGAUUUCUAACUCCUAUUGCUUCCAAACACAUUUCUGCUGAUCGACAAUUUUUUGGCUAUAAAACAUGCAUGCAAAUAAUGAUUUUUAUUUUAUUUUAACUUUUUGCAUCAAAACUUCUUCAUCGUGACUUUUAUUUGUAUAUACUCGCUUUGGUGUAGAAUAGAUCACAUUGUUAUGCUUUUCAUACAGGUUUCUGAGUUACGGGAACAUUUAUACCAUUCUAUAGCAUCUCGUCUCGCUGGUGAUCGGCGCGGUGCUGUCCCCGCAUCUGCUUUUUCUAUUAGUGCACACCAUAUAUGGGAAGUCAUACGAGACAACAAGGAUCUUGAUCUCCCAGCUCAUAAGGUGUUCAAUAAACUCAUUUUCUGAUGUAACUGUGGUUCAGCUGAUCAAUAAUAUGGUAUUUUAGAUGCAAUAGUGGUGUGGUUUUCUUAUGGAUUUGCAUUUUAUAACAGGUAAUGGUUGCAACUGUGCGUUGUGAAGCUAUUGCAAAAGAAAAGCUUGAUCACCUACGUUCUGAUAAGGUAUUGAUCCAUAUCUCUUCUAUUUUACCUGUCUAAAAUGCAUCAGUUAUUUUAGAAAUCAGUCACUAUAUGAAUGAAUUUGGCUUAGGGUUUGCUGGAGUUGAAGAAAGCUGCUCAAUCGGGUUCAGCACAAGGCUUUGGAGAAAAAUUGAGCUCCAUUAUUUCUACCUAUCGUUCUCGGUAAGUUCCAUGCUAGGUUUAUUUAUUUUUGUUUUAUAUUCGUAUGGCGAUAAUACAUGGUUUCAACAGUUAUGACGAGGAGACGGAGUUCUUUGAUGAAGCUGUGAGAAAUGCAAAAGGGAAGCAAUUUGAAUCAGAUGCAUUGAAUGUAAGGCUGCCUGCUACCUCCAAAGUCCAAAGGCUUUCUUUCUUUUUUAAUUCCUAAUUUUGAAGGGAGAGAGUGUGUACAUGAAGAACUUGUUGGUAUUUUAUUUAAAGGAAAUCACAUUUUUUUAAAACUAAAAGAUUUCUAAUUUUAUUUUUUAAAAUAUUAUGUAGUUUGAAAUAUGCUUGGAAUCUAAAUAUAAUGGCCUAAGAUAUUAUCUAGAAAAAUGUAUGCUAUAAUUUCUAUUUUUAAGCAUAAACUUUUCAUAAUUUUUUUUGUUGCUUCAACUUUUCAGAUAGUGUACCCUGUUUAUACAAAAAUGAUAGAACAUCUAUGCUCUAAAGCUUUAGACGAUUUUAACACCGAGCUGAUUCGAUCACUAAACAGUGGAGAAAGGUUUGAUUCAUCUGUUCGCACGUGGACUCGAUGUAUUAUGGUUGAGUUUGAAAAAGUAUUUGCUGGUAAUAAUCAGAUAGGAUUCUUCUUCAUGUUAGCAUAUACAUUUUCUUUUAAAAUUUACAUCAGGUGUCAUUUGGUCAUUCCCAACUGAUUGUAUUAUUUUACUUUUACACUUAUUUAUACUUUUCUGUGUAAUGUGUUAUAAAUUUCAUUAUUUAAUAUUUAAUCAGAAUCUCUAGGGAUUCAUAUUCUUCAAUUUCGUUGAUACAUAAAGUCUGGCUCCUGAUUUGCUUUUGUAGGUGCUCGCAUUUUAUUUUUUCCAUUGUCAUAUAAAUUAAAGGAAUGAAAGAACAUUACUUACACCUUUACAGGAGCGUAUUCUCUCUUGAAUUGAAUUACUUCCAAUGGAGUUGCUAAUUCGCCUCAGUCAUCAUAUAAACUGACUUAUAUACAUGCUCAUUCUUAUUUUGUUUUGUAUUUUCCAGACGUUGCUGUAAGACAGGCAAAUUGGGAUGCUUCGAAAGUGCGAGAUAAGCUUCGUUGUGAUAUCAAUUCACAUGCUUUAUUUGUGCGCAAUGCAAAAUUACCGGAGAUAACAACUAGUUUUGAGGUAAUAUUUUUGUCACACAGCCACUAUCAAAAUCUUUUUCCACUAUGUGGGUCGGGUGCAUGAAUCAUAUGAGAUUUAAGGAUUGCAUUAAUUAUUAUUUUUUUGGGGAUUUUAGGGCUCCUAGAGGUAAUUGGGAACAAGGAAGAAAAUCAUAUUUUAUAACAUUUUAAAGAUUACAUAUGCUUCUACAAAUAUUUCCUUCAUGUCUAAAUCACCUAAAACAAAACACUAGCAUCUUUUCUACAAUGGGAGCUAUUCCAACUUUCUCUUUAAUGAUAAUUGUUCGUAGUACUGCAUUGUUGGGACUAUAAUAGAUUCGUUGGUUGAGCUGAUCAAUGUAUUAUUAUUGUCUAUAAUAUCUUUGUCAACCACUAAAUUAUCUCCUUUUGCAGAAACAAUUGGCCAAGGCAUUGGCUACACCUGUGCAGUCCCUCUUUGAAAAAGGAGGAAAUGACACCUGGCUUUCAAUAAGAAAUCUUCUUAAAUGUGAAACUGAAGUUGCUGUAUCAGAAUUUGUAGCUCGUGUUGCUGGUUUUGAUCUCGAAAAAGAAACUGUUGAAAAAAUGCAACAAGACUUGAGAGAAUACGCUAGAGAAUUGGUGGUGAAUAAAGCACGAGAAGAAGCUGGAAAGGUUCUGAUUCGUAUGAAAGACAGGUAAUGUUGUUGAAAAGAUACAAAUACUAUAGUCAUUCAUUUGGCCAAUGUGUUAAAAGAAUUUGUGGAAUAAGAAUUUGGUAUCUUGAAGAGAUAGAUGUAGCUGAUCCACUUAAUGUGAUAAUGUUUGGUUGAUAUUGUUAUUAUUUAUCUCCGUGUGUUUGUCUUGGAGGGUGCCAUUUAUUGUUCUGUUAUGGCAAAAGAAAUUUCACUAUUCCAGUUCAAGUUUACUCAUUUUCUGAUUUAAUUUUGUUACAUACUGGGUUUGAUAAUGAUUUUCAGGUUCUCUACAGUGUUUGAUUAUGACAAUGAUUCCCAGCUUAGGGUUUGGACAUGGGAUAAAGAUAUCAAAGCUAUUAAAAAAGAUGCUUACUCUGCGGUAAUUGAUAGCCUGUUCAAUGAUAAUCUUUCAACUUGCUGUUACUUGAUAUUGUAUUAUUAACAACACUUUUUAAUCACCAUGUAAUUAAAAUGUGUUUUGCCGUGUAUCAGUCUUUGAAGCUUCUAUCCGAUAUGGUUGCUAUACGCUUGGAUGAGAAGCCAGAUCAAAGAGAAAGAGUACUUGAUUUAAAAUCUUUCCUGUAUACAGAUAGAGAUCUUUAUCUUUAUCUACUGGAUUCAAUUACAUGGAAGGUUUCUCCUGGAGAUAUACUUAUCUCUCCAGGGCAGUGCAAGUCAUUGUGGAGACAAUUACAAGAUGAAACUGUGGAUACAAUUAGACAAGCUAUUGCAGCUAAGGUGAAAUCAUUAGAUCACAUUCUUGUCUAAGUUUUCCGCAUUCCCUUUUCUGCCCAACUUUGUUGGCAGUAUGAGAUAUAAAACCAUUUAUAUGCUUUAGCCUAACAACACAAACUCUUGGGAUAUACAUUAUACGGUAAUAAAGCUUCCAUCAUGAUCAAGUUAAAUUCAGAAAUAAAGUUAAAUUCGAAGUAAAGAGGGCAUAAGCCUUGUCCACACUUGAAGUGAAAAAAAUCGGUUUGGUUAAAGUCUUUCGUGCUGGUAAUAUGUGAAUAUAUAGUGUAUGCAACUAGAUUUUGUUUUUUUUUUGUUUUUGUUCACCUUUUUCACUUUGGUUCUAUUUACUUUUUUGUUCUGGAUUCAGAAGGAGGACAAAAAACAAAUGGCAGCUACUGCUCUACAAGUAGCCACAGCGGGUGUAUAUCUAGGGCUCGCCACGAUGGGUGUAUAUCUAGGUUGAGGCUAGAGAACGGAUCAACAUAGGUGUUUCCAUCUGUUCACUUCACUAGUUAUUUGUUAGGAAGUUGACCCUCUUAUUUUAAGCUCUUAGCUUUGUUUUGUCUUUCUAUUCCUGUUUUUGUUUAACUUGAGGGUUUUGGUGUUUGUCUCCCUUCUCUCUCUGUGUAUAUUUACUAUUUUUUCAUGCCCGCAACGCACGGGGAGAAAAGAUGUUUGAAUAAAAGUUAAUUCAUUGUUAAAUAUUUGAAUAUUUUCUCUUCUAUAAUAUACUCAGUCUUCUUCCCCAACAUUCAUAUUAAACACUUUAAAACAAAAGUGUUUUUAACCACAAGAAAAUAAUAUACUUGUGCGAAAAACUAUAAAAGCAACUAUUUGUAAUUAUAUUUAACCACCAGUUUAAAAUAAAAACGUUAUUUGAACUGGAAUGAGAGAAGACGUAAGAACUUUUCUCAAUUUGAAUUUUGAAGAUAUAUGUAUAUGUCUGCCCUCCAGUUACAUUUCCAUCAAACCGCUCUUUUGGCUAGUUCUAAUAAAGCUAAUCUAGCUAGUUCCAAAUUUCCAAUAAUUUUUCAUAAGGAGCAAAAUGUACUUUAAACUAUUAUUUUCAACUCGGGAGCAAAUUGUGACUUACACUCUUAAUAACAUAAGAAAGAGAGCAAUCCUUAAAAAAAAAAAUUAAAAAAGAGAGCAAGUUAAUAGCAUAUCCAUAUGGCUUACACAUAUUAUAUAACUUUAUCCAUUUUUUCCAAUUAUUAUUUCAGUCCAUAUUCAAGGAGUAAGAAAAAAUAAUUUGACAUCAACAACAUAAAAUAAAAAUUCAAAAUAAACAAUAUAGCACAAAUAGAAAAUAAAGAGUUAUCAUAUAAAAUAAAAUAGUUUCUACCAAAAAGAGUGAAAUAAUGAUACUUGUUUUCUUUUUAGCAGCCAUGCGAUAUCAAGUUGUGUUGUAAAGGAUAUCUGUGCGUAGAAGGUGUCAAAGUAGAGUUGUUGUUGUAGAAAGAUUAGGCAUAAAUUAUCUCUAGAAAUAAUAUUCAAUAUAUAAAUAAAAAAUCAAUUAAAUAUAAGCAAAAGAGUGAAAUCAAUUAAACUUAUCUUUCUUGAAAUUGCGGUGAUUUGACGUCGUCGACGGAAUCGAAGUAAACAAUCAGGAAAUCAUGAAAGGAGACAACCUGCCAACCAGUAAUCCAUUAUAUAACAUGAGGCGUGACAAGUCACUGUCCUUAAGGAUUUAUUCGCCUCAUAAACACAGGAGAUGCAACCCAGAAUUAAAAUAUUUGAGAGGAGAGAAAACUAUAUUUGAGAGAAGAGUUGUUUUGGUUGCUACUGAUCAAAAGGCUAGAAAAGAAAAAACUUAAUCCUCUUUUUCUUUUUUCCGUGGAAAAAAUGUAACUUCCUUCUUCUUAUUCUUAUGAUGUACGUGUAUCAUUAGGCCAAAUGUAGUUAUUUAGUCAAGCAAGCAAAAAGCCUUAAUAAUAGCCACAUUUAAGAGAUGUCAAUAUAGAAAGGCAGUUACAAAAUAUAGAAUUAAAAACAUGUUACAAAACCAAGUCAAAGUUUAUAAUUAAUAAUAAGAUAAUUAUUUUCUAUUAAAAUAUUUUUCUAUAUUUCUCAAUAGAAAAUAUGAGACACAAAAUAAUUGAACUUUUGAAAUACACUCAAAAUUUACAACAAUCCCCCACAUAUUUCAAAAGUUUAAAAGAAAUUAGAAAAAAGAGUUUUUCUUGAGUAUACAUCGUAGAUGUAAUGCAUCGGAACGGUGUAUCAAGCUAUGGAACCCGUCCUAGACUAAUGAGACUUAGCAUACAAUGAAUUGGUUUAGCAAGCUAUGGAACCCAAGACACUUGUUAUGUGCUAGAGAUCUCACAAUCACACUACACCCCCACAAUUCUUGCUGUUACGCGGUUGUGCACGAAUAGGCCAUGCGCGUGCCUGGUAUUCAUGAGUGCUCUAGAGACCCGCCACGGUCUCAUACAAGCGGCCCCACUUGAAACUCAUAUAGGUGAUUCCAUCUAGUGUAUGCUACAAUCAAACACCACCAAUAAGGGCUUAUGGUAAUCAUUAAAAGCUUUUAAACUUACCCAUCAAUUUUAUAUUAUUUAGCACAUCUCAUCCAUUAUCAUACACUAUAAAAAAGAGACAACAAUAUUUUAGUGCUAACAUAACUAACAAGUAACUUGUUUUUACCCAUUGAACCUUCUUCAUGGGAUCUCCAAUCACAAAGGUUGGGUUCCCAUUACUUGUCGUUUUCGAGUGGCAGAGUCUCAUUUUCCUAAAUUUCUUCCCAAGGGGUUUUAUAUACGGAUCCGUUAAAUUCACAAAUAUUGACUAAGACGUCUCUAAGUCAAUUAACCUCAUAUUUCAUCAAGUUUAUGAAAAUAAACUCGGAUUACAUAAUAAACUAAUACAAGUCGUUGUCUAUUAAGAGACAACAUGUUCAUCAAUAAGAUAAAUCUACUUAUAGAUUUAUUCUCAUUGGAUUCAUAUCUAUUUGACAUCUUUGUAUUAUUUUAAUACAAAGGUUUAUCCAAUCAGUAAAAAUAUCUAAUAUAUUAUCAAACUAAUUUCCAUAAUAUAUGUCAUCAGGUCUACUUAGAUAAAUACUAAGCGACAACAUCUUCAUAAAGGGGGAAAUAUAUUUAUGAUUAAUUUUAUUAUACAUGUCUACUUGAAAAACUUUCAGGCGACAAUAUCCCCUACAUAAGCCAGAUAUAUUUUUCUAUUCAAGUCUGCUUGAAUUCUUUUUCAAGUGACGAUGCCCCCACAUUCAGGAAAAUAACACAUAGGUAAAUCAAACAUCAUCGUAUUAUUUUACUACAAUGGAUAAUCCACAAUAUUACACCAAAUAUUUUACGGUGUAUCUUAAUAUAUAUAUCUCUUGAGUUUAGCAAGUGCCACAAAAUUAUAUUCAGAUCUACUUAGAUUAUUUCUAAGCGACAAUAUCACACUUGUUUUACUCAUACACAUAUAGGUAUCACAGUGGAUUUCUUAAUAACAUCUUGUUACGGAGUACACUUCCAUCUCUUUUUAAAAUGAAUGUCAUAGUAAGGAUCCAAAUAGACCCCAGAAGAUCAUUUUAUUUUAAUAAUCUUAAAAGAACAAUGCUGCAACGAAUGUUAGAUCGAUCGAGAAGCAAGCUCAAAAUUGCAUGCCCACACAAAAAAUACAUCUCAAAAAAUUUAUCAAAACUAAAGAUGACAUAUCAAUACUAUAUUUUAAUGUAGGUUAACAAGAUAUUCAACUUUAACAUGUAUAUCACAACUCUAUACAUUUUGAAUAAAUUUUUAUAUCACUUUUCAACAACUCAUGCUUGCUUCUAUUUUUUAGGCAUAUAAUAGUACUUCAUAAAAUUCAGUUUUCAACAAGGAUAAAUCAAUGUCUCUACAUCAACCAGAACAAAGAAUAAUACAACAAAGAAGAAUAAGACAUUUUCGAAAACUGGAGUUCAAAAUAAUCAUAAUCAAACAAACAUGUGGUUAAUUAACAUUUUUGCAUCACUUUUCUAUAUGCAUAUUUCAUCACAGUAAGUCUUUUUCAAAUCAAGCAAGACAUUAAUUUUCAACAUCAUUAAAAAUAUUAUGCAAGCUCAAACAACCAUGCCUCAAACUAAAGUCACUAUUAAAAUUGAACUCAACAACAAACGUAUUGGCAUAAAUGAAAGCUACGAGAGCACAAUUUUGAAAAAUCAUACAAUCAUUUUUUUUUCCCACACAUUCAAUACACUCUCACAACUUUAACAAAUAAAAUCAAGAUUUUUGAGAUAUCAAAUUAGAAUGUGUACCUGACCCCUUGUGGAUGAUUUCAAAGGGAGACGUGUUUAAAACUUACAACAAAGUCGAUCACCUUGAAUGAACUGAGAAAUUCAACGAACCAUUUGUUACACCAAAAAAUUAAUGGUAACGUAUGCAUCGUUAAUUCCGUGUACACCAAAUAGUUCACCAUGUACAAUUGAAGUUUAGUUUUACAAACAUCUAACAACUACAACAAAGAUAGUACGCUUAAUUUGUAAACUUGCUUAUUAAUUUAUACCAACAUAGACUAUUACCAUUUAGAGACAUACUAAUUACCAUUUACCAUACUGUUCUUAAAAUAAUUAAGCAUGAUAAGGGACAACAAAAAUAAUCCCAAAACAAUUCUACAUUAUAAUAAUAAAUCAACAAUAAUUUAUACAUAACAUAGUUAACAGGAACGUCAAACAUAUAUAAUAAUUACUCAAGCAUAAUUGAUCAAUUAGAUUAAGAUGAGGAACAAAACACUGAUUUUAAUUCUCGUCAUUUCCUUUCAUCACCAAAUAGCUCAAUUAACAAAUUUACAACAAAAUUAAUAAUUUUAUGCUAAUAAUAAAUCCUUAAGAUUGUAGAAAAAUUUGGCAUAAAUUAUCUCUAGAAAUAAUAUUCAAUAUAUAAAUAAAAAAUCAAUUAAAUAUAAGCAAAAGAGUGAGAUCAAUUAAACUUAUCUUUCUUGAAAUUGCGGUGAUUUGACGUCGUCGACGGAAUCGAAGUAAACAAUCAGGAAACCAUGAAAGGAGAUAAUUUGCCAAACAGUAAUCCAUUAUAUAACAUGAGGCGUGACAAGUCACUGUCCUUAAGGAUUUAUUCGCCUCAUAAGCGCAUAUCCUCCCAGAAUUAAAAUAUUUGGGAGGAGAGAAAACUAUAUUUGAGAGAAGAGUUGUUUUGGUUGCUACUAAUCAAAAGGCUAGAAAAGAAAAAACUUAAUCCUCUUUUUCUUUUUUCCGUGGAAAAAAUGUAACUUCCUUCUUCUUAUUCUUAUGAUGUACGUGUAUCAUUAGGCCAAAUGUAGUUAUUUAGUCAAGCAAGAAAAAAGCCUUAAUAAUAGCCACAUUUAAGAGAUGUCAAUAUAGAAAGGCAGUUACAAAAUAUAGAAUUAAAAACAUGUUACAAAACCAAGUCAAAGUUUAUAAUUAAUAAUAAGAUAAUUAUUUUCUAUUAAAAUAUUUUUCUAUAUUUCUCAAUAGAAAAUAUGAGACACAAAAUAAUUGAACUUUUGAAAUACAUUCAAAAUUUACAACAGUUGUUUCAAUGAACAAUGAUCGUCAAAUCAUCUAUGAUCUUGUUAAACUAUGUCAGUUGCUCCAUUAUAUAUUUUGACUCCACCAUCCAGUAAAAGUAGAGUUGUUGUUUCAGACAUUGUCUACGUGCCAAAGACUUUGUCAUAUACAAUGAAUCUAGUUUAUUCCAUAUAGACACAUCAGUAGUCUCCCUUGCUACCUUUCUCAACACCUUAUCCCCCAAGACAUUGAAUGACGGCACUUAUCACCUCUUGUCAUUCAUCUCAAUCUUCUCAGCAGGUGUCAGAUGCGCUGGCAUUUGUGCUUCUCCCUUCAAUGUCUUAACACACUUUUGUUGGAUUAAAAUUACCCUCAUCUUUACCUUCCACAACCCGAAGUCGUUACUACAGGUAAACUUCUCAAUAUCCCAGUUCGAACCCAUGGUGCCUGUUUAUCGAUUUGAUCAUUGUCCCACGGUGGGCGCCAAUUGUUUUGAAUUCGUUUAAAUCACACCAAUAAAAUACUUGAUGUGUGGAGAAAAUUAACCAAGCAACCAAUAUCAACGUGUGUGAUAAUUAUAAAACACAAGCAAAAGUUAAAACAACGAGAGAGGAGAGAAAAAAACACAAGAGAAUUUGUUUACCUAGUUCGGUCCAAUACUGACCUACUCUAGGGGAGACACCAGCUCUUCGUUCCACUAUAAUUGAUGAGUAAUUUUACAAAGGAUUCAAAAGGGUUACAAGAAUCAAUCCUCAAACAUAAUUCUACCCAAAGUCCCGAAUUUCUUCCCGUGACAAAGAGACUCAAUCCUAAUAGUGUUUCUUCAAGGUGAAACAAUGAUAAUUCAUUCACAACCCUAGUGUUUGUUGCCAAGAGAAUUCUCUACAAUCCCUAGUAUUAUUGUUGGCUUCUAAUCCUUGUUUUUAUAUUGAUUUUUUGAUAUAGGAUUUGAAUUUAUAGAGAAAUAUAACCCUCAAAAUUAGGAGCAAAAAUACGCUGAAUAUACGUUUCUAUUUUUUCUCCUUCAGUGCAAAAUCGUGCCCCGAUUUUUUACGAGACAUAAGUCUUAACACUUGGUCAAAAUCGUGCCACGAUUUUGGCACUCCUUCAUCCAUCAAAUUUUGAGUCAAUUUCAACAUGAACAAAGUUCCCAAGUUGCUUAGCAAGCAACUCAAUUAUUAGAUGAUUGAAGAACAUCUUAGUUAUCAGGUUCCGAAGUAAAGGAAAUACAAACCCAACACGACAAGCAUCUGUAAGUUAUAAAGAGGAGAAUGGAAAAGGCCGGCAGCUAGCGGGUGUAAAUGUAACAUUGGCAUCCUUCUCUAUGUCGCUUAACAAGGUAGGCUUUGGAAUGUGUAUUAGGUAUGAUGUUGGUGAAUUUGUGUUGGCCAAAACGGAUUAGUUUGCUCCCCUGUGUGAUGUUGAUGUGGUGGAGGUCGUAGCUUUACACACAGCUCUGCAAUGGGUGUUAGACCUUCAAUUCAACAAUGUGGACUUCGCCCUUUAUUCUAAAUGAGUUGUUGAUCAUGUUAUAUCUAGCAAUUUAUUUGAUGUUGUUGAAUGCAUUUUUUGAUGCUGUUUCUUGCAGUUUUUUUUAAUGCCACUAAUCUAGUAUGUGUUUUCUGCGAUUGCGUAUUGGUUGCAUGGGUGAAUGCCAAUGGUGUCCACAAUUUUUGAACAAGUGAUAUAACAUUCUUUAGUCGGAACUAGUGGUUAUUUGUACCUUGCCUGAGUUAGGGUCCUUUUCAAAGUUGCUAUAGUUUUGUGACCUUUUUUCGGUACAAUUUUUGUGACAUAUUAAGCAUUUAUUUGAUACAAAACUAUAGUAAUGGAAAUUUCCAUUUCAUCUUGAGAAAUUGAGAGGAUCCUUACCAGUUGCUGCCUUGGGAAUUGGUCGCAUCGUCCUAGUCUAAAAUAUGCUGUUUAAUAUUGUCUACUGUUAAUUUUUUAUGUUGGUUGUAAUUUAGUAUUUUGCAUAUGUAAAUUUUUUCUCACUGCCAAUUGUUAUGCACAUGCAGUUGAAAAUCUUAUUAAUGUGUGUAUCUUCUAUAUUGUUAUGCAUCCUUUUCGAAGCACCUGAACAAGGUUGGAUUAGGUAUGUGUAUUAAAGAUGAACAUGGUAUUUUUGUCCUUGCCAAAACUGAUUGGUUUAGUCUCAUAUGUGAAGUUCAUAUUGGAGAAGCUCUUGGGUUGAUUUCAGCACUAGAGUGGGUGUAUGAGCUCAACUUGGGACCUAUUAACUUUGAGAUGGAUGCGAAGAGAGUGGUGGAUAGUUUUUUAUCUUCUCGACAUGAUGUUACCGAAUUUGGUAUCAUUAUCCAAAAUUGUAAAACUCUCUUUAGGCAUUAUUAUGAAAACUCGACGGUUGAGUUUGUACAGAGACAAGCAAAUGAAGUUGUUCAUAAAUUAGCUAAGNAAUUAAUAAUAAGAUAAUUAUUUUCUAUUAAAAUAUUUUUCUAUAUUUCUCAAUAGAAAAUAUGAGACACAAAAUAAUUGAACUUUUGAAAUACACUCAAAAUUUACAACAAUCCCCCACAUAUUUCAAAAGUUUAAAAGAAAUUAGAAAAAAGAGUUUUUCUUGAGUAUACAUCGUAGAUGUAAUGCAUCGGAACGGUGUAUCAAGCUAUGGAACCCGUCCUAGACUAAUGAGACUUAGCAUACAAUGAAUUGGUUUAGCAAGCUAUGGAACCCAAGACACUUGUUAUGUGCUAGAGAUCUCACAAUCACACUACACCCCCACAAUUCUUGCUGUUACGCGGUUGUGCACGAAUAGGCCAUGCGCGUGCCUGGUAUUCAUGAGUGCUCUAGAGACCCGCCACGGUCUCAUACAAGCGGCCCCACUUGAAACUCAUAUAGGUGAUUCCAUCUAGUGUAUGCUACAAUCAAACACCACCAAUAAGGGCUUAUGGUAAUCAUUAAAAGCUUUUAAACUUACCCAUCAAUUUUAUAUUAUUUAGCACAUCUCAUCCAUUAUCAUACACUAUAAAAAAGAGACAACAAUAUUUUAGUGCUAACAUAACUAACAAGUAACUUGUUUUUACCCAUUGAACCUUCUUCAUGGGAUCUCCAAUCACAAAGGUUGGGUUCCCAUUACUUGUCGUUUUCGAGUGGCAGAGUCUCAUUUUCCUAAAUUUCUUCCCAAGGGGUUUUAUAUACGGAUCCGUUAAAUUCACAAAUAUUGACUAAGACGUCUCUAAGUCAAUUAACCUCAUAUUUCAUCAAGUUUAUGAAAAUAAACUCGGAUUACAUAAUAAACUAAUACAAGUCGUUGUCUAUUAAGAGACAACAUGUUCAUCAAUAAGAUAAAUCUACUUAUAGAUUUAUUCUUAUUGGAUUCAUAUCUAUUUGACAUCUUUGUAUUAUUUUAAUACAAAUACAAAGGUUUAUCCAUUCUGUAAACAAUAUCUCAUAUAUUAUGAAACUAAUUUACAUAAUAUAUUUCAUCAGGUCUACUUAGAUAAAUACUAAGUGACAACAUCUUCACAAAGGGGGAAAAUAUAUUUAUGAUUAAUUUUAUUAUACAUGUCUACUUGAAAAACUUUCAGGCGACAAUAUCCCCUGCAUAAGCCAGGUAUAUUUUUUCUAUUCAAGUCUGCUUGAAUUACUUUUCAAGUGACGACGCCCCCACAUUCAGGAAAAUAACACAUAGGUAAAUCUAACAUCAUUGUAUUAUUUUAAUACAAUGGAUAAUCCACAAUAUUACACCAAAUAUUUUACGAUGUAUCUUAAUAUAUAUCUCUUGAGUUUAGCAAGUGCCACAAAAUUAUAUUCAGGUCUACUUAGAUUAUUUCUAAGCGACAAUAUCACACUUGUUUUACUCAUACACAUAUAGGUAUCACAGUGGAUUUCUUAAUAACAUCUUGUUACGGAGUACACUUCCAUCUCCUUUUAAAAUGAAUGUCAUAGUAAGGAUCCAAAUAGACCACAAAAGAUAAUUUUAUUUUAAUAAUCUUAAAAGAACAAUGCUGCAACGAAUGUUAGAUCGAUCGAGAAGCAAGCUCAAAAUUGCAUGCCCACACAAAAAAUACAUCUCAAAAAAUUUAUCAAAACUAAAGAUGACAUAUCAGUACUAUAUUUUAAUGUAGGUUAACAAGAUAUUCAACUUUAACAUGUAUAUCACAACUCUAUACAUUUUGAAUAAAUUUUUAUAUCACUUUUCAACAACUCAUGCUUGCAUCUAUUUUUUAGGCAUAUAAUAGUACUUCAUAAAAUUCAGUUUUCAACAAGGAUAAAUCAAUGUCUCUACAUCAACCAGAACAAAGAAUAAUACAACAAAGAAGAAUAAGACAUUUUCGAAUACUGGAGUUCAAAAUAAUCAUAAUCAAACAAACAUGUGGUUAAUUAACAUUUUUGCAUCACUUUUCUAUAUGCAUAUUUCAUCACAGUAAGUCUUUUUCAAAUCAAGCAAGACAUUAAUUUUCAACAUCAUUAAAAAUAUUAUGCAAGCUCAAACAACCAUGCCUCAAACUAAAGUCACUAUUAAAAUUGAACUCAACAAAAAACGUAUUGGCAUAAAUGAAAGCUACGAGAGCACAAUUUUGAAAAAUCAUACAAUCAUUUUUUUUUCCCACACAUUCAAUACACUCUCACAACUUUAACAAAUAAAAUCAAGAUUUUUGAGAUAUCAAAUUAGAAUGUGUACCUGACCCCUUGUGGAUGAUUUCAAAGGGAGACGUGUUUAAAACUUACAACAAAGUCGAUCACCUUGAAUGAACUGAGAAAUUCAACGAACCAUUUGUUACACCAAAAAAUUAAUGGUAACGUAUGCAUCGUUAAUUCCGUGUACACCAAAUAGUUCACCAUGUACAAUUGAAGUUUAGUUUUACAAACAUCUAACAACUACAACAAAGAUAGUACGCUUAAUUUGUAAACUUGCUUAUUAAUUUAUACCAACAUAGACUAUUACCAUUUAGAGACAUACUAAUUACCAUUUACCAUACUGUUCUUAAAAUAAUUAAGCAUGAUAAGGGACAACAAAAAUAAUCCCAAAACAAUUCUACAUUAUAAUAAUAAAUCAACAAUAAUUUAUACAUAACAUAGUUAACAGGAACGUCAAACAUAUAUAAUAAUUACUCAAGCAUAAUUGAUCAAUUAGAUUAAGAUGAGGAACAAAACACUGAUUUUAAUUCUCGUCAUUUCCUUUCAUCACCAAAUAGCUCAAUUAACAAAUUUACAACAAAAUUAAUAAUUUUAUGCUAAUAAUAAAUCCUUAAGAUUGUAGAAAAAUUUGGCAUAAAUUAUCUCUAGAAAUAAUAUUCAAUAUAUAAAUAAAAAAUCAAUUAAAUAUAAGCAAAAGAGUGAGAUCAAUUAAACUUAUCUUUCUUGAAAUUGCGGUGAUUUGACGUCGUCGACGGAAUCGAAGUAAACAAUCAGGAAACCAUGAAAGGAGAUAAUUUGCCAAACAGUAAUCCAUUAUAUAACAUGAGGCGUGACAAGUCACUGUCCUUAAGGAUUUAUUCGCCUCAUAAGCGCAUAUCCUCCCAGAAUUAAAAUAUUUGGGAGGAGAGAAAACUAUAUUUGAGAGAAGAGUUGUUUUGGUUGCUACUAAUCAAAAGGCUAGAAAAGAAAAAACUUAAUCCUCUUUUUCUUUUUUCCGUGGAAAAAAUGUAACUUCCUUCUUCUUAUUCUUAUGAUGUACGUGUAUCAUUAGGCCAAAUGUAGUUAUUUAGUCAAGCAAGAAAAAAGCCUUAAUAAUAGCCACAUUUAAGAGAUGUCAAUAUAGAAAGGCAGUUACAAAAUAUAGAAUUAAAAACAUGUUACAAAACCAAGUCAAAGUUUAUAAUUAAUAAUAAGAUAAUUAUUUUCUAUUAAAAUAUUUUUCUAUAUUUCUCAAUAGAAAAUAUGAGACACAAAAUAAUUGAACUUUUGAAAUACACUCAAAAUUUACAACAGUUGUUUCAAUGAACAAUGAUCGUCAAAUCAUCUAUGAUCUUGUUAAACUAUGUCAGUUGCUCCAUUAUAUAUUUUGACUCCACCAUCCAGUAAAAGUAGAGUUGUUGUUUCAGACAUUGUCUACGUGCCAAAGACUUUGUCAUAUACAAUGAAUCUAGUUUAUUCCAUAUAGACACAUCAGUAGUCUCCCUUGCUACCUUUCUCAACACCUUAUCCCCCAAGACAUUGAAUGACGGCACUUAUCACCUCUUGUCAUUCAUCUCAAUCUUCUCAGCAGGUGUCAGAUGCGCUGGCAUUUGUGCUUCUCCCUUCAAUGUCUUAACACACUUUUGUUGGAUUAAAAUUACCCUCAUCUUUACCUUCCACAACCCGAAGUCGUUACUACAGGUAAACUUCUCAAUAUCCCAGUUCGAACCCAUGGUGCCUGUUUAUCGAUUUGAUCAUUGUCCCACGGUGGGCGCCAAUUGUUUUGAAUUCGUUUAAAUCACACCAAUAAAAUACUUGAUGUGUGGAGAAAAUUAACCAAGCAACCAAUAUCAACGUGUGUGAUAAUUAUAAAACACAAGCAAAAGUUAAAACAACGAGAGAGGAGAGAAAAAAACACAAGAGAAUUUGUUUACCUAGUUCGGUCCAAUACUGACCUACUCUAGGGGAGACACCAGCUCUUCGUUCCACUAUAAUUGAUGAGUAAUUUUACAAAGGAUUCAAAAGGGUUACAAGAAUCAAUCCUCAAACAUAAUUCUACCCAAAGUCCCGAAUUUCUUCCCGUGACAAAGAGACUCAAUCCUAAUAGUGUUUCUUCAAGGUGAAACAAUGAUAAUUCAUUCACAACCCUAGUGUUUGUUGCCAAGAGAAUUCUCUACAAUCCCUAGUAUUAUUGUUGGCUUCUAAUCCUUGUUUUUAUAUUGAUUUUUUGAUAUAGGAUUUGAAUUUAUAGAGAAAUAUAACCCUCAAAAUUAGGAGCAAAAAUACGCUGAAUAUACGUUUCUAUUUUUUCUCCUUCAGUGCAAAAUCGUGCCCCGAUUUUUUACGAGACAUAAGUCUUAACACUUGGUCAAAAUCGUGCCACGAUUUUGGCACUCCUUCAUCCAUCAAAUUUUGAGUCAAUUUCAACAUGAACAAAGUUCCCAAGUUGCUUAGCAAGCAACUCAAUUAUUAGAUGAUUGAAGAACAUCUUAGUUAUCAGGUUCCGAAGUAAAGGAAAUACAAACCCAACACGACAAGCAUCUGUAAGUUAUAAAGAGGAGAAUGGAAAAGGCCGGCAGCUAGCGGGUGUAAAUGUAACAUUGGCAUCCUUCUCUAUGUCGCUUAACAAGGUAGGCUUUGGAAUGUGUAUUAGGUAUGAUGUUGGUGAAUUUGUGUUGGCCAAAACGGAUUAGUUUGCUCCCCUGUGUGAUGUUGAUGUGGUGGAGGUCGUAGCUUUACACACAGCUCUGCAAUGGGUGUUAGACCUUCAAUUCAACAAUGUGGACUUCGCCCUUUAUUCUAAAUGAGUUGUUGAUCAUGUUAUAUCUAGCAAUUUAUUUGAUGUUGUUGAAUGCAUUUUUUGAUGCUGUUUCUUGCAGUUUUUUUUAAUGCCACUAAUCUAGUAUGUGUUUUCUGCGAUUGCGUAUUGGUUGCAUGGGUGAAUGCCAAUGGUGUCCACAAUUUUUGAACAAGUGAUAUAACAUUCUUUAGUCGGAACUAGUGGUUAUUUGUACCUUGCCUGAGUUAGGGUCCUUUUCAAAGUUGCUAUAGUUUUGUGACCUUUUUUCGGUACAAUUUUUGUGACAUAUUAAGCAUUUAUUUGAUACAAAACUAUAGUAAUGGAAAUUUCCAUUUCAUCUUGAGAAAUUGAGAGGAUCCUUACCAGUUGCUGCCUUGGGAAUUGGUCGCAUCGUCCUAGUCUAAAAUAUGCUGUUUAAUAUUGUCUACUGUUAAUUUUUUAUGUUGGUUGUAAUUUAGUAUUUUGCAUAUGUAAAUUUUUUCUCACUGCCAAUUGUUAUGCACAUGCAGUUGAAAAUCUUAUUAAUGUGUGUAUCUUCUAUAUUGUUAUGCAUCCUUUUCGAAGCACCUGAACAAGGUUGGAUUAGGUAUGUGUAUUAAAGAUGAACAUGGUAUUUUUGUCCUUGCCAAAACUGAUUGGUUUAGUCUCAUAUGUGAAGUUCAUAUUGGAGAAGCUCUUGGGUUGAUUUCAGCACUAGAGUGGGUGUAUGAGCUCAACUUGGGACCUAUUAACUUUGAGAUGGAUGCGAAGAGAGUGGUGGAUAGUUUUUUAUCUUCUCGACAUGAUGUUACCGAAUUUGGUAUCAUUAUCCAAAAUUGUAAAACUCUCUUUAGGCAUUAUUAUGAAAACUCGACGGUUGAGUUUGUACAGAGACAAGCAAAUGAAGUUGUUCAUAAAUUAGCUAAGGCGGCCUUAUUGUCAAUUAGUCUCCAAGUUCUAUUUAAAAUACCUAAUUGUAUUGAAAAUACUUGAUUAAUGAAAUGAUAUAAGUUUGUUUUCUCAAAAAAAAACAUUUAUAAUAUUCCACUAUCUUAGAGUACAACGACUUUUGAAUAUAACAUGUAUUAUUGGUGCCUUUGAGUUGUCAUCUUAUUGCAGGUAUAUUUGACAAGGAUUAUGUACGAGAAAAUAAAAUUUUCAGGUCUAAUUUGACAAUAAUAUGAACAGCACUUUCUUUCUUAAAAAAAAAAAUAUAUAUUUGAACAACACUUGUUAUUUCGAAUCUUAGUUUAGUUUCUAUUAUAUAUCUCUAUCUUUUUUUUUUUGAAUAAAUAUCUCUCUUUGGCUAAUCAAUUAUAGGGACAAAAUCAUGUUACUGCAUGUUGUUCUCCAAAACUUCUAUUUUUCACUCUUCUAAACUUCUAAUGAGUCAUGCAGCUUCUUUCACACAAAGUCCUUCUCCACUUUCAUAGUCUCUCACAAAAGUAGGUUGCUGCCUGGUUCUUAUAUUUUAAUCUCUAGUUAAAGAUGAAAAAAUGCAUAUGAUUAAAAAAAAAUUAGAGUAUUAUUUUUUAUUUUUUUUAUAAUUGUCUCAUUUAAGUUUAUAAUAACAGAGAUUGAAUUUAUUUUUCAAUAUAAUUUUUUAGUCCCUUCUAUUUAUAAGUUUUUUUUGUUGACAAAGUAAAUAUGUCAUGCAUGUAUAAUUUGUUAAUUUACACCAACUCAAAAAUUAUUCGAAUGAGUGAAAGUUAUUAUGUUAAAAUUAAAAAUUUAUGCUAUACACCUUAAAGUGCAAUUUUCUAAGUUAUAAUAAAAUAAGUGAGAUGGUUUAAAAUUAAUAAAUCAUUUCUUUAACUAUUAAAAUAAUAGAUUAAUUUGGAAAACUAAUCCUUGCUCGUCCAUUGGAAGCAAAUUUGUAGAUACAUAUCGUAUUUAUUGAAGUGUUGGGUAAAUUGAGUGGUGUUGUAUGGUAAAGUGGAAGUGGUGUUGGAGGAUGUGUGGAGUAUUGCUAAGGCAAUGGCGUCAAAUUUAAUGGGGAUAAGACAAAUAUGUUUAAUGUGUUGCGUAGGGUAGGGAGGAAACCAAGCAGAAGUGAGAGGGAGAAGGAGGGGUAAUUCUCUCCUGGGCUCUUCUUCUUUUGAUUAUUCCUAUCGGUCUUCGGUGGGAGCUUCAUGUGGUCUGGUCAUUCCUACGAAGAAUGCCGCCAAAACCAGAUAUUCCAGGAUUUUCAAAAUUGUUGCCAUCAACAUUCAAGACAACGACCAUACUCUCCUCUAGAUGCCAAGUCACAUAACAACCUUCUAUAUCUGUGGAUAAUGCCGGAGAGAAAACAGAACUAGGAAGGACUGACAAAUUGUAAAUUUUUACCUUCAAGGAGAAAAUAGAAAUCGUCUCAUUCUCCAUACAAAAUGAGUUUCGAGCGCACCAAAUCCACCAAAGAGCAGCAGAGAAUAAAUGACUAUUUGCGCUAACCACACCUUGCCUGAGCUAGGUGAUCAUAAAAUUCCUCAAACAAAAGUUAAUAUUGUGAAAUUCAAGAGCAAUCUAGAGAUGCUUAACAAACAGACAAUCCCGAAAACAGAGCAUGGUACUUUCAAUACUAUUGAGACACCUCGAACAAUUAUUAGUGUCUAGCAUACCUCUGUUAUGCAACAACGACCUCGUAGGAACAACAUCAUAGCAAACUGUCCAAUAUUGAAAUUUAAUCUUUUCAGGAACCAACUAAACGUCAAAUCCACUUCCAUGACCCGACCCCAUCCUCGCCUGUGUUCCACUUUAUAAGCCACUUAUAUCCAACUUUCACAGAAUAAAUACUAUCCAGAUUAUCCUUCCACGUAAAACCAAUAUUUUCUUAUAUCUAUAUAUGGUAUAAAUUAAAGCAUCAUAAUCCGAUAAAAUAUCAUGAUUUCAUAUUUUUAUGAAAUUUUAUAUAUCUGACAUAUUUUAUAAGAAUUUUAAAUCCAAUAAUUUGUAAACCAGUACUUUGUUUUAAUUUAUUAAAAAAAUAAGUAUGCAAUGAAAAUCUAAAAUUGAUUUACCGCUUAAGAACAUAGCACGUGUCUAAAAGUAAAAGAGUCAAAUAGAAGACAACAAUAUAGACUCGCGUGUUUCUCGAAUUUUUCUUUGCGGCACUACCAACAACAACAAGAGUCACACAACAAUCAAAGUAUCUACAGUAGUAACUUUCAAUAUCAUCAAAUUCAAUUCUUAGAUCCAAACUUCAUUCACACAAUUCAAAUGGGAACUACCGUUGAUGAUUCCUGCGCUACCCAACUCAUCGACGGUGACGGUGUUUUCAACCUCACCGGUCUCGAUAAUUUCAUCAAAACUUCAAAUAUGGCUAAUACUGGUCUUUCUUAUGCUGUUGUUGCUAUCAUGGGUCCUCAAUCUAGUGGUAACCGUUUUUUUCUACUUUCAAUUUUUACUUUCUGAUUCGGAUUUAGCUUUCUCCAACUUCAAUUUUUUGUUGAGUUUGGAUCGAUGACUUUAGUUUUUCAAUUAUUGUGUUUAACUAGGGUUUAAGUUGUUGAUUUAAAUGAAAUGAAAGUUUUUUAUUUUUAUUUUGAUUUUGAUUGAAGUGACUUGUGCUCAAAGUGAAGUUUUUUAAGUUUAAAGUUAAAUUUUUUUGUUCGGAUUUAGUCUCUGCAAAUUCAAAACCGUUGCUUUUAGUCCCUGUCAUCAACGUCCGAGACUAAAAACAAUCUUUUUGGAAUUGCUGGGAAUAAAAUCGUAUUUAACUAAGUUUUUUAUUAUGCAAUUUUAAUGGUUAUGUGUUUGUGUUUUGUGAUCUAAUAUUGUGAUUUCAUUUUGUUGUUUGUGCAGGGAAGAGUACUUUGAUGAAUCAUCUUUUCCAUACUAGUUUCAGGGAGAUGGAUGCUUUUAGAGGAAGGUUAGUUUUUUGAAAUGAUUGAGCUAUUAUUGUGGGUAGAGAAAUUAAGAUUUAAAGGGAUAGAUGAAAAUUGAAUUUUUUAUUUAUGCUCCUUUUAUGAUAAAUGAGUAAUUGAGUAUCAUGUUGUUGCAGAUCACAAACUACCAAGGGUAUUUGGAUAGCUAAGUGUACUGGAAUUGAACCUUGCACAAUUGCUAUGGAUUUAGAGGGUACUGAUGGAAGGGAGAGGGGUGAGGUAAUAGAUUCUAUAAUCUAUAUUAGGUGUUUCUUCAUACCCUGUUAAAUAUAUUGUUUUAUGGAAGACCCGUUGUCCGAAUCGUAAGAUACAUGACUAAUACAAAUAUAUUUUUAUGUAAAAACAAGUGACAUAACAAAAUUAUAAGCUAGUAAUAUACCGUUACCACCUAAUUGCCUCAAAAUAAUUCAAGAUUCAAGUCAUAAAUCAAAUGAGAAAAAACAUGUGCUUGGCUAUGCAAAAUUGAGAAAGAAAAAAAAAGAGGUUGGGCUACACUAUGUUUAGGUAGAGAUUGAUUAGACUGAAUCAGGAUUCAUCUUAAUGUAUCAGAAUUCAAAUGAGGUUCAUGUUCAAAAUAGAUGCAUACUAGGGAUUCGUAUCAAUUAUAUUUAGUUUUGUAUUGAAUCUAGAUACAACUCAAGUAUCGUAAAAUAUUGAUAACCAUGGUUUUACGUACUAAUAUCAAUUAGUUUGGUUCGGUGGUUUGUUAGUUAUUUUAGGUUCCCUUUAGGAGACCUGAAAAGAAUGACUUGAUAGUACAAGAAAAUACCUGAAAAGAAUGUGUUUGGUGUUGACACAUGUUAGUAUAGCCAAAUUUUAUUGACCUUUUCAUGGUUGUUCCAGCUUCACUUUAGUGACAAGCCUGUUUGUAGUUAUGUGCAUGGGUACAUAUUUGAUAUUAUUGAGCUGUUAUGUCUUUCAUUUCAUGUACAUUGGAACUCACUAUUGUUUUCUUUUAAUUAUUUAUCUCUCAGGACGAUACCGCUUUUGAGAAGCAGAGUGCUCUUUUUGCUUUGGCAGUAUCGGAUAUUGUUCUGAUAAACAUGUAAGUUUUUAGGCCUAGAUUGGUCAUUUAUAAUUGAUGGUAUGAAUGAAAUUCUGGGGUGAUCCUUAAUUUUAGGCAUCAUGGUAAAAUAUUAUUUUUUUUAAAAGAAACUUUACUUCCAAGUUCCAACAUUUUUCCCUUAAAAAAAAAAGUUCCAAAAUUUUCUGGAAACUAGCUUCACAUAAGUCCACAAAUUUCACUAUUUAACUUGGUAAUGGUAUAUUUUAUGUUCGUAAUAUUCUUGCUUGUAACUUAUCUACUUGACACUUGGGAUCAUUGACACUGUACACUAGUGAUUGUAGGAUGAAAUAUAAUGUACUACAUACGUCCCUAAAUAUAGUACCCCUUGAGUUAAACACGUGAACUAAAAAAAUUAUUUGCAGUAGUAAAUUUAUCGACAAUUUGUAUAGUUUUACAAGUUUACCCUUUAGUAGAGAGAAUUAGUUAAUAAUUGUAUAAGAGUAUUUAUUACAUAUUGCAGAAAAAGAUGUAAUUUAAUUAGGCGUAUGUUGGUAAAGAAAUAAUUAAUGCACUUAGAAAUUUGAAAGGGGUCUUGUAAAAAGGGACUAACCUAACACUCAACAGUGUCCUAUAUUUAGGGAUGGAGGUAGUAGUUUAUUUCAUAUCACAAGGUGUGGAAGUAUGUAUAUGAUAUACAUAAUGCCAUUUUCCUUUCUUAUUUUCUGCAGUAUUGUCCUUUGCAAGCCUUCGAAAUCUUUUUUCCUGCUUCCUUGCUUUGGAGCCAAAUUAGUUGUCAAAAACUAGAAACUAAAAGAUUUUAUAUUAGGAUAAAACAAUUCCAUUUCGAACAGCCAUUGAGGGUUUUAUAUUAGGAUAAAACUUAGGAAUUGUUCUAUGGGUGCCAUUUAUGCUGAUUAAAAUAUACCACGUGGAUUAAAUUUUGACUUGACUCUGAAUUCGAAGUUGUCCUUUUGAUACUAUUGGAUACAUAAUCCAUGUACUGAAUUGUAAUCAGCGAAAAGUAAAAACAGCACACAAGAAACUAUCUUAGUUUUGUCAUUUAUUUUAUGGACAGGUGGUGUCAUGAUAUUGGUCGUGAACAAGCAGCCAAUAAACCUCUUUUAAAAACAGUUUUUCAGGUAGUUUGCAACCAUGAAUUUGCCUCUGUUUGGUAUUCUAUGUUUGAAUUUACACACUCUGACCGUUCUUUUGUUUUUAGGUCAUGAUGCGUUUAUUUAGUCCACGGAAGACAACAUUGCUUUUUGUUAUACGUGAUAAGACAAAGGUCUAUACACUUCAUCCUUUAAUGAGAAUGUGUCCUGUUUUAUAUUACUAUAUUCAUUUGUUUACCAUGUUUCUUGCAUUCUGUACAGACUCCGUUGGAAAAUUUGGAGCCUAUUCUAAGAGAAGAUAUUCAAAAGGUGAUUUUUCAUCAUUUUUUUCUCUCUUUCAUUUAUUUGGUUUCUUGUUUUAUUCACCAUCAUUUGUAAACAUGAAAUGAAUUCAUCAGAUUUGGGAUGGAGUUCCAAAACCUCAAGCUCAUUUACACACUCCUCUUAGUGAAUUUUUUAAUGUAAGAAGAUCCAUCCAUCUCCCUUUUUCGCAUGCUUGUUUGAUUGUUUAUGUAUAUGUUGUGGCAUAUGAUUAACGAUUCUUCAUGUGAAGGUGGAAGUCACUGCUUUGUCAAGCUAUGAGGACAAAGAGGAGAAAUUCAAAGAGGAGGUACCCUUUCAUGAGCUACUACUUUUGCUUUAAGGAGUUUGUUCAACUUUUCUUUUUAAUUCUAGAACUAGAAUGAUUUCUAAAUCCUAUUGCUUCCUAACAUCUUUCUCCUGAUGAACAACAAUUUGACUAUCAAUAUGCAUGCAUUUUUUAUUUUAUUUUUUAAAAUUUUUUUAUGCAUCAAAACUUCCUCAUCCUGACUUCUAUCUCAUAUGUGCUAAGGUGUAGAUCACAUUGUUAUGCUUUUCAUACAGGUUGCUCAAUUACGACAACGUUUCUAUCAUUCUAUAGCACCUGGAGGUCUUGCUGGUGAUCGGCGUGGUGUUGUGCCCGCAUCUGCUUUUUCUCUUAGUGCACAACACAUAUGGAAAGUCAUAAGAGAGAACAAGGAUCUCGAUCUCCCAGCUCAUAAGGUUUUCAAUAAUCCCAUUUUCAGAUGUAACAGUGGUUCAGCUUUCCAAUAAUCUGAUAUUUUAGACGUGGUGUUGUUUUCUCAUGGAUUUGUAUUUUAUAAUAGGUAAUGGUUGCAACCGUGCGUUGUGAAGAGAUUGCUUACGAAAAGCUUAGUCAGCUGCGUUCUGAUAAGGUGUUGAUCCAUAUCCCUCUAUUUUACCCAUCUAAGCUGCAUCAUUUAUUUUAAAAAUCAGUCACUAUAUUAACGAAUUUGGCUUAGGGUUGGCUGGAGUUGGAGGAAGCUGUUCAAUCAGGUCCAGUACAAGGCUUUGGGGAAAAGUUGAGCUCUAUUAUUGAUACCUACCUUUCUCUGUAAGUUCUAGAUGCUGGUAGACAUAAUUAUUCAAUCUCAAAAUAAAUCUGUGCUCAACAACUACUUGAUUUUAUGUUUAGCUUCUGAUGUUAAAUCAAGCCUCCCCUAAUAACUCGUGUGUAUGUUUGCGAGUCACUGAAGGAGUGUAAUAAUUAUUGGAUUUGGAAUUAGAUUGGGAUUUUUUUUUUUGGCAAUUUCUUUACCUUAUUUGUAGUUUUGGUAAGUUUUGCUUGCAGUUGCGUCAAAAGAUAUGUGUUUGAUUAGUAACACUCCAAAUAAAAGGAGAGAAAAAUAGAUUGGUUGAAUGUGUUACUUUAAUUUCUAUUUGUCCUUGCAAGUUUACAAGGAUGUAUCUAUAGUCAUCAUUGGAACUUACAUAACUAUUUGAUGUUGAGGCUUUAGCUUGGCAUAUAAUAGUUUUUUAUUAUUUAAUUGUCUCCAAAAGUUCCAUUUAUUUAUUUAUUUAUUUAUUUUCAUAUGGUGAUAAUGCUUUCAACAGAUAUGAUGAGGAGACGAUCUACUUUGAUGAUUCUGUGAGAAAUGCAAAACGAAAGCAAUUGGAAUCAAAUGCAUUGGAUGUAAGGCUGCCUGCUACCUCUAAAGGCUUUAUUUUAAUUUUAGUUAUGGAUUAUGAUCCAUUUGAGUUGAAUUUUGAUAAAGCAGUUGUGGACUGUACCGUUGAAAUAAAAUCAAGCCUCUUUUAAAACACCAUGUUAAGUCAAACUAUUACUUUUUUAUUGAAACAAUUAUUUUGGGUGUCUUUAAAAAACACGAUAGGGAAAACAGAGUGAAAGAGGCUUAAAAUUGCAACUAUCCUUCCAAUUUCGGCAAAUCAAAGAUGGAACUCCUUGAAAACAUUUCUUGCGGAGUACCAAACUAAAGGCUAUCAACACAACAGCGUCUCCAAAUUUUUGGGGCAAGUGAAUCCACUUGAUAAUUGGGUCUAGUUCAUGAGUAAAAUUAAAAUGACAUUGACAACCAACAAUUCAAAUAAGAAAAAAAUUGAAACCACUUUCAGGUUUUGGUAGUUAUAAUCCCACCCGGCUGGGCACCUCUUGACUUACCUAAUGUACACUGCUGCCCACCCCCUCAAAAUAAUCUCUUGUUGCUUCUGUUGGUAUCUUCAGCUCCUCCACCAGACCUGGAGAUAAAAAAAAAUUGCGAGGUGUUUAAGGGUAUACCACCAGAAAGGCUUUCCCAUUUAUAGCAACAUCAAAUCCUAUCAGCAUCCCAAUCUCUAUUCAUGCUACCUUGCACUGAUUCUGUAACCCAAGAUUCUAUAAGCCUAAAUUUAGAAUAAAUGAUUAUUAAUAUAUAUAAUUCAUAAUGCAGAUAUAUUCUGUUCAACAUGCAUUCUACUGAAAUAUUAUUAGCAAGAAAUUUUGAAGGGAGAGAAUGUGACAUGAAGGACUUAUUGGUAUUUUAUUUGAAGGAAAAUCACACUUUUUUAAAUUAAAAGAUGUCUAAAUUUUUUAAAAUAUAAUGUAUUUUGAAAUAUUCUUGGAAUCUAAAUAUAAUGGCCUAAGAUAGCCCUAGAAAAAUUUAUCCUAGAUUUUCUUUUUUUAAGCAUAAACUUUUCAUAUAAUUUUUUUAUGCUUCAACUUUUCAGACAGUGUACCCUGCUUAUUCAACUAUGAUAGGACACCUACGCUCUAAAGCUCUAGACGAUUUUAAGACCAAGCUGGAUCAAUCACUAAACAAUGGAGAAGGGUUUGCUUCAUCUGUUCGCACGUGGACUCAGUCUAUUAUGCUCGAGUUUGAAAAAGGAUCUGCUGGUAAUAAUUAGAUAGGAUUUUUCUUCAUAUUAGCAUACAGUUUUUCUUUUUAAAUUUACAUCAGGUGUCAUUUGGUCGUUCUCAACUGGCUUUAUUAUUUUACUUAUACUCAUUAUUAUAUAUACAUUUGCUGUGUAAUGUGUUAUAAAAUUCAUUAUUUAAUCUUGAAGCAGAAUCAUUUGGAAUUUAUCAUUCUUCAAUUUCAUAGAUAUAGAAAGUGUGGCUCCUGAUUUGCUUUUGUAGGUGCUCUCAUUUUUUUUUGCUGUCAUAUAAAUAAAAGGAAAGAAAGAACAUCAUUUACACCUUUAAAUCAGUCUGUCUUCAUCUUUUAGAAUGCAUCAUAUAAGUCGCUUAUUCUAAAUAAACUUGCUUUAGAGGAACAUGUUCUCUCUUGAAUGAAUUUACUUCAAAUGGAGUUGCUAAUUUGCCUCAGUCAUCAUGUAAACUGUUUUUUAUUUUAUUUUUAUAUUCUUAUUUGUUUCAUCAUUAUAUGCAUUUUUCAGACGCUUCUGUAAGACAGGCUAAUUGGGGUUCUUCAAAAGUCCGAGAUAAACUUCGUCGUGAUAUUGAUUCACAUGCUUUAUCUGUGCGCAAUGCAAAAUUGUCGGAGAUAACAACUAAUUUCGAGGUAAUAUUGUUGUCUGUACAAUCAAAGUCUGUUUCCAUUUUGUGGGUUGGGUACAUGGAUCAAAUGGUGGGCAUGAUGCCUUGUUAUGAAUGAAUUUCACAGAUUGACCAUUAGCUUUAAAAAUCUCUCUUAGCCUCUAACCUAUAGGCUAGUUGAUAGCUUAUAUAGUCAAGAAACUAGUCGAUUGAAAUUUAAGUGUUUAGUAAAAUUUACUGAUUAAUUUAAAAUGACAUGAAAGGACUUGUUUAUUUAACUCUUCACAUAAAUUCUUUGUAUUAUGUUAUGUAUGCCCAUGUGUACCAAUAUAAUAAUAAUAGUUUUAUUUUAUUUUAUUUGGCUACUGGCUAACACAUACUCAAAUAAACACAUGGGGAGGGGGAAAUGUGGUGUCCCGAGAUUCCACACACAACCAAACCACUAGACUGUAACAACGUGGUAAAAAUGAUUAUACUAUAAAUUUAUAGCUUACACUAAAUUUUUAUCAUUAAUAAUUAUAGGGUAAAAAUGAGAAAAUAUAAAAGGCUAUAUGAUUCUUCAAGGAGCAUCUAAAAAUAAGCUAUAAGCUGGUUUCCCGAACACUUUUCUUUUGAUCAAACAAGCUUAUAAGCUAGUCCAAUAAGUUAUAAGCUAGCUUAUCGACCUUACCAACCAAAUCCUUAGUACUUUGACCAGUAGUGUUUCUUAUCUUCUCUACCUCUAACAAUUGGACUGCUCUCUAUUUAGUAACCUUACCUACAUGACAUAUGCUUCUACAAGUCUUUCCUACAUGUAUAAAUCACCUAAAACAAGACUCAAGCAUCUUUUUUUACAAUGAGAGCCAUUCCAACUCUCUAAUGAUAUUGUUUCUAAUACUGCAUUAUUGGCACUAUGUUAGAUUAAUGGGUUGAGCAGAGCAAUGUAUUAUUAGUGUCAGCAAUAUCUUCGUCACCCACUAAAUUAUUCCCUUUUGCAGAAACAACUGGCCAAGGCAUUGGUUGCACCUGUGGAGUCCCUCUUUGAAGAAGGAGGAAAGGACACCUGGCUUUCAAUAAGAAAACUUCUGAAAAGUGAAACUGAAGCUGCUGUAUCAGAAUUUUCAGCUCAUGUUGCUGGUUUUGAGCUGGAAGAAGAAACUGUUGAAAAAAUGCAACAAAGCUUAAGAGACUACGCUAGAAAAUUGGUGGAAAAUAAAGCGCGAGAAGAAGCUGGAAAGGUUCUGAUUCGCAUGAAAGAUAGGUAAUGUUGUUGAAAAGAUAUCUAUACUAUAGUCAUUCAUUUGGCCAAUGUGUUUAAACCCAACCGUUAACAAAGUAAAGUUUGGAACAUGCAACAUAUUAUGGUUGCAACUUGCAACAGUGUAAAGGUAUCUAUUACUCAACAGUUUAAUGUGAUCCAAAGGUUUUUGGUGUUAUAACGGAUGCUACCUGAUGAUCUUUGAGAGACCCUGACUCUCUCCAAUUAAGAUGCCAAAUCUGCCCUACUUGACUUUGCACCCAUAUAAAUGAAAAGCUCAACAAAUAGUACAGAUGUUAUCCUCUGUUACAUGUCCAUUUUUCCUAAUGUAGACCCUUUUUAUUGUUGGCCUAUUAUCACAAUCUUCGGCUUGAAACUUGUAUUAGAAAAUUUGAUUAAUGUUUGAAGUUUUGCAACUCAAGAGUUGUAAUGAUAGUCCACUAUCUUCGUAGUUGUUGUUGUCUUUUGUUGGGAUAGAAUGCCAGAAGCACGGACGAAGUUGUUUUUGUUUCUUUAUAUGCUUAGUGAAUGUGUGAUUUCCAAGCAUUUCUUUGUGAGGCAUGCCAAGAGACAAUAUUUGCACUUAAAAACUUGUUCAAAGCAGUAGAGAAACACAGAAAACAUUUGUGGAAACAUUAUAAAGACCUUGUUUUAAAUGAGAUAAUGGUUUUACUAAGAUUUUGGUAUUUUGAAGAGAGAGAUGUAGCUGAUCCACUCAAUGAGAUAAGGAUAUGUUUUGUUAUUGUAAUUAUUUAUUUCCAUUUGUUUGUUUUGGAGGGUGCCCUUUAUUGUACUUGUACCUUUUCUGUUAUGCCGAAAUAACUUACACUAUUCCAGAUGUUUACUCCUUUUUUAUUUAAUUUUGUAACUUACUGGUUUCAAUAAUAAUUUUCAGGUUCUCUACAGUGUUUAAUCAUGACAAUGAUUCACUCCCUAGGGUUUGGACAGGGAAAGAAGAUAUCAGAGCUAUUACAAGAGAUGCCCGCUCGGCGGUACUUGAUUGCUAGUUCAAUGAUAAUCUUUCAACUUGCUCGUACUUGAUAUUAUAUUGUAAACAACACUUUUUAUUCACGAUGUAAAAUGUGUUUUUCCAUGUAACAGUCGAUGAAGCUUUUAUCGGAUAUGGCUGCUAUACGCUUGGAUGAGAAGCCAGAUCAAAUUGAAAGAGUACUUGAUUUGUCGCUCGUAAACAAAACCAGUGCUGCAACAUCUUCCCAGUAUACAGAUAGAGAAGCUUCUGUGGAUCCACUGGCUUCAAGCACAUGGGAGGAGGUACUUUAUUGUGUGUGAUAUUUGUGCUUCUACUAAUGUUGCUGCCACAGUUUUUUUUUCAUGCGAGAAUCUAUAUAAAAUGUAGGUUUCUCCUGGAGAUGUACUUAUCUCUCCUGUACAGUGCAAGUCUUUGUGGAGACAAUUCCAAGGUGAAACUGAGUAUACAAUUACACAAGCUAUUGCAGCUCAGGUAAAAUCAUUAUGUCACAUUUUUGUAUUGUCUACGUUUACUGCUUUCCCUUUAAUAAUUGAAUUUGUUUGCAGCUUUGGCCAACUUUUAUGCAGUUUGAGAUAUAAAACCAUUUAUCUGUUUUAGCCCAACUACAAAAACUUUUGGGAUAUACAUUAUAUGGUAACCGAACUUCUAUGAUCAAGUUGUUGGGAGCUUGAUCCUUACCACCUUUGUUUUUAAAAAAUAAAGUUAAAUUCAAAGUAAGUGUGGGAAUAAGCCUUUUCCACACUUGAAGUGAAAAAAGCUUGUGUGUGGGGGGAAGUGUGUUAGAAACUUAAACUUUUUUGACAGAUGGUUUGUGACAAUGUACACAAAUGGAAUCAUUAUUACCACAGUUAAUAUUUUGGCUGAAAUUGGAACCUAUUUAAUAAUAUGCUUUAUGUGUAUGCGUUGAUAAAGAGGGAAAAUCUGAAGGGGAGACAAAUUUCAAUGACUACGCACUUCAUAACCAUGUGUAUCAUGCUAUUUUGGACAUAAGAAUUCUUUUUAUGUCCGAAGUAGUUGGUAUUGGUUAUUGGAGUUACAACUUACAACUUACAACCAUAAUUGGAUGUUAUAAUAUUGAUUUUGAAUUAGAUCUUCAUCCAUUACUUUCAGAAUCCUGAAAACCUUGUAAUUUUCUAAAGCCUAGACAAAUAUGAAUUUGCUCUUGCAAGCACAAUCCUUAUUUUGAACUCUUAUAUGCAAAAACAGAAAUGCAAUAAAUGCAACAUUCGAUGCGCUUGCAAGUCCAAUAACCCAAGCAAGCUAUAUUCUGUAGAUAAAAAACGUGUUUGAAGGCCUUGUUCUAUAUGUAUGAGAUUUUCUGUGGUUGAAAAUAAUCAAUUGUGUUGAUUGUCUUGACCAAUGCUUUGAAAACUAAACCACAAAUUUAAAACGCAAUUGAUUCGACUGAUUUAACUAGUUGAAUAUUUAAGUUUUAGGUUGAAUUGUGAUUGAAUUGGACUAUUGAACCGAAUACAUGGCCGAUUCAUGGCCUAAAUAAUUCAAUUGGCCAAUCCGGUUUAGUGUUUAAAACAUUGGUCUUAUGCUUUGGUUCUCCUGUAUUCUUUGCUGUUAUUUGCUGGUUUUGUCGCGCUUCACUUGUCCAUUUUUAUGAUAAAACUGGUUUGGUUGGAGUAUUUCUUUUGCUUGUAAUAUGAGAAUAGUGUAAGUGCUAGAUUCUGUUUUUUUUUCCUCUUUCGUUCAUUAACCUUUUUUUUACUCUGUUCAUUUAGCUACACAUUUGAUGAAAAUGCCUUCUUGUCCUUCCUUUUUUCCUUGGAACUAAUCUGAUUUGAGGCACACUAACAAAUGUGCUAUUUACCUUUUGUUGUUCUGGAUUCAGGAGGCCUACAAGCGGAAUAACAAUUGGCUACCUCCUGCAUGGACAAUUAUGGCAAUGGCCAUAUUUGGUUUCAAUGAAUUUAUGAUGCUUUUAAAGUAAAUAUCACUCUAAAAUCUUGAACGCUGACUAUUUAUUUUUAUAUUUUAUCGGACCCUUAUUUCCAUCAGUUUAAUAAUUACAUCUGCUGAUUCUGAAACAGAAAUCCUCUCCUCAUAUUGGGUAUAUUUGUUGCCUAUCUACUUGGGAAGGCCAUUUGGGUACAGAUGGACGUAGGUGGAGAGUUUCGACAUGGCGCUGUAAGUUGUGUGGGCUCUUUCCUUCCGUUUUACUUUUUCCCACAGCUGGAUGCUUCUGUCCACACCCACACUCACUGAUCCACAAAGUUGUCAUGAGAUUUUUUUAUUUUCUUUUUAAAAAUAAAAUACUAUUUUACAGUGCAAAAAAUGAUGCUAUUCACUAAAUUAGAAGUAUGGUACUUUGGUUAGUUGGAUUUACCAGUGCAAAAAUUCUUAGUUGCCUUGUUGACGUUGGUUUGUUGGUAGUGAAUUGUAAAAGUAGCAACGAUAAGUAUAAGGGAUAUUUGAAUGUUUUUUAGCACUGUCUGAAUUUUUCUACUUGUGCAUAUUUUGUUCACAGCUUCCUGGGAUACUGUCCAUUUCGUCAAAGGUUGUCCCCACAAUUAUGAACCUUCUUAAACGUCUUGCCGAAGAAGCUCAGGGGAACCCAGCACCUGAAAGAACAGAACAACAUCAUUCAGAUUCUCAGAUAUUUAGAAAUGAGGUGUCAAAACCUGACUCGGUAUCAAGCUCAAUCUCCAAUACGGGUCUAUCUAGUGUUGCCUCAUCUGACGGUGAUGGUGAAUUCUCAACCACAAACUUGUCUCAGAGGCAAAGAACAAACGUUUCUGAAGCUGAAUCAUUAUAAUUUAUGUUGAAGAAGGUUGGCAUCAUAUUAUAAUAUGCACCUCCUAGUUGCUUUGAAAGAUCAGUUUUGUAUUUUACAGCUACAUUUUUACUUAUCAUAUUUUCUGUAACGUGUAAAUUAGAUGAUAAUAUGAAAAGAACCCCUAUUUGGGUUCUGUUCUGAUUACCACAUCUUCAGUUUGAGCGCAUGAAACUGAUUAAUCAUUUCCCCCCUUUAUUUUAUUUUCGCAGCGAGGGGCUAGUUUUCCAUUAAUGCAGUUGCUUUUCUCCCACCACCAACAUGAAAGCAUUUUAUUGUCUAUUCUUCUUGGCUUUUAGUGCGUAUUACAUCAUUUCUUCCCAAUCUCAAUUACUUGACCGAAACGAAAUUAACAUUGAAAAGUAACAAAUUAGAAAAACCAGUGUUGCUUACUAACACUAAUGUAUAUUUAAAAUAUUUAAAUUAACUUUUGUAGAAGACACCUUACUUGACAUCUUUAUGACGUCAAUUACUAUUGUCUUAGUGGGUUCUUCUUACUUAAAAGUUUUGAUUUGAAGUUUAUCUCAAUUUUAAUUUUAAAAAUUAGUGUUCAAUUAUAUCUAAACAAAUGUUAAUUCACAUUUAAAUUAUUGUUAAUCAAAAUUAAUUCAUUAUUUUUCAAAUACUAAAGCUCCAUGGGACAUUUUUAACUCAUGAAGGUUUCACGCUCAAGUGUUAAAUUGAGAAAUACAUGAUCAUCAUGUAUAUAAGUUGUGUUCAGAUAACAGCAUCAAUUUACACAAUCGUAUUUGCCCACAGACUGCAGUUAAAGCUUUUCCGCAGACAAAAUAACUAAUUAGAUUAAGAAUGGUCUUUGCUUAUGCUGUUAAAAAGGAUAGAUAUCACAUAGUUACAAAUGCAAAAGUCACAUGUAUUACUGUAGUUUGCCUCAUCCUAUAUCGUGGAUUUGUUAAUGAAGCACCAAAUAUCAACACGAAGUGAUAGGAAUUAUCGUACCAGCAAACACUGUGUCUGAAGACACCUAUCUUAAACUUCGUUUCUAGAGGCACAUUCCUUUUGUUUGCCAGCUUCAAAUCCUCAGCAAGUGGAUACUUUGUUCUUUUCUCCGAGUUUCUUGGGGGAAAUCAAUACAAAACUCUGGCACAGGAUAAUAAACAAGGGAAACAACUCAGCAACAUCAGAAGUUUGACCCAUGCGACAAACAUGUCAAACAAUUGGAAUUGCAGCUUAAGAAAAUUACCAUUCAAUCCUUGGGUUGUUUCUUCUGGCAUAGACUGCGUAAUUUUGAAAUGGUCAGAUCUGCACCUCCAAACCCAUCCACAGUGGCAAGAGCUAAGGGGAACUCAGCUCUAGAUGUCAAACUGCAGGAAACAAUUACAAAUAAGAAACAGUUACACCACUUAAAAAAAAUAAUAAUCAGAACUCUGUUGAUGAUAAUUGAUAAGGAACUUCCGCUGAUAUCUGCAACAAUUAUCCAUACAUGUUCAUCGAACUUUUAAGAAUAGAACAACCACCUGCUCCGUAGAACAACACAUGGCAUGCCCGCCCGUUCAGCUCCAGCUACUCCAGAUUGGCUUCCUGCAACAAGGACACAGUUGCAGAGAGGUAGCCCUGCAUAUUCGGCUCCCGCAUGUAGUGCAGCCACAAUCUUAUCUAGACUGGACAGAUGGUCAACAUAUUUAAUGACAUUUGACUACAACAUUAGUAUUUGUUUAUGUUACUGAAAUCCAGAUCAAUCACUCAUUUUCCAAUUGAUAAGUUGUUAAAUGCCAAUAUAUGUUCAUAAGCUCUUGCUUUGGGCGUUCUGGCUAACUUAAUAAUAGUGUUUUAGAAUAGCUAUGAGUUGACAAAGAAAGAUAAUUCAAUAUAGCUAUGCAAAUAAAUUGCAGUUUUAAGGAAACUCACUUUUUAACUUGUAAUCAAAAUUCUUUAUUAAAUUUAAAAUCAUAUAGGAAGGAAAUCAAACAUGGAUAAUUUAUAAAAGCUGACAGAGCACAAUGAUUACAUAAAUAUGAAGGAACCAUUUCUAUGAUUGCCUCUAAAAGAUUCUUUAAGACUUUCAGUUUCUCGGCCUUAGUUAUUUGGCUUGGCUUGUCCAAGAUCAACUGUAAGCUGUCACCAAUAAUCUUGGGCAAAAUCACUUCGUCGAAGAUAGUGAGCCAUAAUUCAUCUCAAUUCUCACUAAAGAAAUGAACAUUUAUCUUAACAGUAUUCAAAAAUAAAAACUAAAACGAUGACCAUGAAAUCCUUUUUUUAUUUUUUGUUCAAAAAUAUCUCUAGAGAAUUGAACUAACCUUUCAGAUAAGCUGGUAUCAAUCUCAACACUUAACUUAAGCACGGAUGCCACCUCCUUUGCUAUUCUUUGUCUCUCAGCAGAAGCUAGACAAAAUAACAGAAAUACAAAGCACCUCAGGAAAAAACAUAGUGAAGUAUAUGCAUGCAUGAGCUACACAUACAUAAUGAAAACUCAAGAAGCACAUACCUGCUCUCGUGGCUUCCUUGGCAAGUUCUUCAUCCAAACCAGAAGCAAUCACCUUUCCUGAGACAAGUUGGCCAUAUAAACUUUGCCCAGCCUCCUCAAUCCCCACAAUCAUCACCUUUUUGCUUCGAUCAUCGCCAAGCUUUUCUAUUAUGGUCCUAAAAAUUAUGGUAAGCACAAGGCAAAACGAAAAAAAUAUCAGUGUUCUCACGUUCUCCCCUGGAAAAUAAAUGUGGACGCUAAACAAGCAAAGAGCAAAGAUCAAAAUAGUGGACUGUGAACCUUAGAUCCCCUCAAAUAUUGAUGUUUUUUACAGAGCUCAAAGAAUAUGCAUUGUAUUAAGUAUGAACUCAUAAACCGUGAACUUCAUUUAACCUAGUUCAGUCAUCCAAUAAAGAUUAUUUUAUAUAACUACAAGAAAAUACCGAGACAAAAAGAGAGAAAACUGAAGAGGAGUAGAGAGAGGGAGAGAAUGAAGACAAUGAAUGGAUAGGUGCACUAAUUAUAUGUAUUUAUCUGUAUCCGGUGCAUUAACUUAGACCAGCAGCAUACCUUCACUUAGGUAUUCCACUAGGCUGAAGACCAAUUAGUCCUCUUACAUGCUAGAGUGUAAUGAUCAUGUGCUCUAAGUUUAUCCAAAUAAAGCAAGCCCAAACGCACCCAUCCCCUCCACCAUAAGAUUGUCCUAGUUAGUACUGUUGUAAAGUUUCAAAAUUAAAUAGAAGUACCUGGCAAUAUUAUCACCACUUUUACUGUAGGCUGUCAAUAUUACCACCGGAAUUCCUUCAUUGUAUGCGUCAUCAAUAAACCUGUUAAUGGAGAUGUUACUCUAUGUUGAGAAAUAAAAACAGAUUAAAGUUCAGCACUCACCAAGUUCCAAAACUUACUCCGUAUCUGAGAAACAUAUGAACCUUUUUAAGAGAAUUAAUACACAUAAUUGGAGCAUAGUUCAGUAUUACGAAGCAAUGGAGACAAGGAGAAGCAUCGUAAAUUGAGAUUUCCAUAAGAAGAAACAGGUAAGAUAAACACGAAAUUACACAUCCAUGGACUUGCAUAAGUAGCUUUACUUCAUUGUGGCUGCUUAUCAAAUCUAUUGCAAAUCAAAUUUACUACUAAUAAAGAAGCACCAAAUAAUGUCCUAUACCAAAACUAUCCUUACGUCUGGGCCGAGAAAAAAUCUCAACUAACAAAUAAUCUCUGUUACCACAUAAAAUUGUGAAAUAAACUCCAGCAAAAUGAUUAUUUGAUAACCACUAUGUAAAGGAUGGCUUGGUAGGAGUUGAAAUACUAGAAAAAUCUGAUAUUGUUCACUAACUAAUGUGGGGGGAAAAGUACACGCAUAUGUACACAAUUUACAGAUGCAAAGAAUCCCUGAAAUUUGGGUUGAAAAGGAUAACUAUGAUGAUAUCUAUUCUAACUAUGGAAACUAUCAUAUCAAAGAAUAAAAGGGAAGCAGGAAAGAACCAUGGAUAUAAGAAUCAUAAUCAACACUAUCUUAGGUGGAGUAUAAGCCAUUUGCAUCCUCUUGAUACAUAAGUUUUCUAUCCAAGGACUCCACAAGGAUUUCAUAAAAAUGCCUACUAGUUGAUCCUUGGGACUCAUAGAAGAGGUCUUGAUGAUGCCUUCAAGACCCCUCGAGAUUUCUCUCUUUAACUAAUGUACAUAUUGCUCCCCUAACUUUAACUAAAAAGUAUAGCUCCUUAAGGGAUAGAUCUCCAUAAAUAAAGGACAACUUGGUUCUAUGCAACUCCUACUAUGGCUAGGUCCGUGGAAGAGCAAGACCUAUUAAUGACCUAUUAUACUUAUUUUACCUUGUAUUUGCAAGAAGUUGAUUCCAUAACUCUUUCAUGUGACCUCUAGUCACCCAACAACUAGGAGAUGACGAGUUCAACGACUGAGGUAAUGUUUUUGUGUUGUAGAUUCAUAUUAAAUGACACAAAACAAAUAAAACACACGCUCAAACACAAUGAUAUUCAUUGAAUGAUAGAUAACUCACUGUUCAACACCAGGGCGUAAAGAUAGACUUUUAGAUGUCACAAACUCUCCCAAAGCCUUUUCCUGCCAAUAUGUCAUGAAGAGUUAUAUAGGACGCUUCACAAGUUCUUGUCAUCUUAUUCUCAAGUUAUCUUAUCCUUGACAUGAGUAAACGGAAAAACCAUUUCACCAUUUGGGGCAAGAUUUUAGCCUUUUAGGUUAUUGGGAUAUAAAAUCUAAUUCCUAGAGCUUCAAUAUCAAGUAAUAAUUAAUCACUUCAAUAGCUCAUGAUAUCAUUUUUGUUUAUGACAGAGUCGGUAUCAUAUUCAUAGAGAAAGUAGAAAAAGCAAUCUUAUCCAGACUCCAGAGAAUCAACAAACUAUAGCAUGUAUGAAAAUACGAUGUUUUGGGGAAAUAAUCCUUAUUUCAAAAGUUAUUUUAGGAAACUUUAGAUUAAAAUAUUUUUCAGCCCAAAAUAAACUAAUCCACAUUUGUAAACAGACAAGAGCUUUAAGAAACUAUUCCUCAAAUAGGAGAUUGAGUACGGAACUAAAUGGAAAGUUUACCAAUUCUUAGAGGGACGAAGAUUUAAGAAACUUAGAGAUUUUAAUAAAUUGCAUGGGUUUAAUUACACUCAGCAAACUUAGGAUCAUAUAUACAAAAAAGUAUUAAUUAUGAGAAUUCAAUUAAACUAUAAGACUAAUAAAUACGAAUAAAUGAAUAAAACAUUUACUAGAAUAUUAAAGUUCCAAUGUUGACAUCAGUUAACUUCAAUGGAAAAUUCCUACACAAGACUUUUAACCUACAAGAAUCCAAAACCAAAAUUCUUCAGCCUGAUUUUCUCCCCUCAAAAUCAUGAUUCAUCGUGAAAACCAAUGUGAGAUGUCUGAUCAAAACGACUUAUUCCUAAUUAUAGGUCUAUAUUUAUUCCAAAUUCAUUUGGCCCGUCCCACAUCUAAAAAAUAUGGAGUUCUGUUUUCACAUUAAACAGUUAAUCUGAAUUAUGAAAUACAACUAGUUUGGUUUUUGUCAUUGAGGUUGAUUCUACUUGUAGUAGCCAUAUUGAUGAUCUCUAACUCUUAAGGCUGUCUCCCUCAUAACACUUCAUUUGCUUGUUUAGUACAUCGAACUAGUCUGGCAUUUAAAAAAUGCCAUUUUCCAUGAAAAACUUGCAUAAGAAGAUUAAAGGGAAACUCAGGAUUAGGUUGCUGUUGGUGUAGCUUUCUUCAUUUCUAAGUCUUGCUUCUCUCAAUAGAAGCUUCAAACAAAUUAAUCAUCUAAGCACCAAGAAAUUUUCUUGUUGCAAGGAGAGAAGGUCAACAAUGGACAAACUUUUCAGUCUAACAACAAAGCACCGAAUAAAUAUUUGAAAUGGCAAGAGAAAAAGGUUUCUGUACCUAACUAUAGUUUUGGAAUUUGUAAAGGAUAUAAUGCAUAUAAUUCGAAAAUAGGUGAUAUUCAAUUGGGCAUUUAUACACCAAAACUAUAGGAAUGGAGAUACCCAUUUCUUUUAAGAAAUUGAGAUAAUCUCUACUCCUACUAGGGAAUAUGUUCUUCUUAGAGUAUUAAACUAGAGCCACAACAGAUCUUUCGUUAUAAAGAGAACGUUUACAGUCUUAUUAUAAGCACAUUAAUUAAGUACAUGUAAUAUGUAUCCCAGUCCUCACUCCUCAUACACCAAAGAAAAAUCAUAUUAAUCAUUAGAAAACAACCAAGUGUAAGAACGUUUACCUUUUCCUGUAAAACACUUUUUGUGAAGAGUCCCUUCUCAUUUGUGGGCAGUGAUGAAGGCCACCCGAUCUGUAUGUUAAAGACAAUCAAUGACAGCAGAACAUGGCGUAAGUAAUGUUUGCAGUGAAGAAAACAAUCAAAAAAUAUCAAUAGACCUAAUUUCUCCCCUAUACCACAGACAAAAGAUGAACAACUUACUCGAUUAAAAUACAGGAACAACAUCUUUUCCUCAUCUCCAGCGCUUCUUCUGAAAAUUUAUUAGAAAAUGGUUUAUAAACAAGUGAAGCAGCAUAGGUAUUUGUUCAUAUAAAUUUCCAUUUCAGUACUAAAGAUGUUUCAAGUAUUCAAUUACAUUAGCGAUUCUAGAUUCUACACAGUCAGGAAAAGCAUGCAGUCAAGAGAUCCCAACUGUUAAUUGAAGAUCAGAUGACUUGUAUUACGAGAUGUAUAUUUUAAAGUGGAUUUGGUAAAAUCAUAAUACAAGUCUAAUCUUCAUCUUAUAGUCGAGAUCCAUGACCACAUCACUGCACAAAAUCCAAACCCUUAACAAAUAAGGCUUCAAUGAAAUUCAAUGCAUUGAUUAACAUGAUCUCAUGAAAUCUAAUUGAGCAAUCAAUUUCCAUUAGAAUUUAGAAAACAAGCAUAAGCAAAAUAACAAUGUAAUAAACAACCAAAAAAAAUAAAUUAAAACACCUUAAAAGAUCUGUAUAGACAGGUUCAUUCCAACUCGCACAAUCAAGUCCAAGCUUCUCAAAUGCUGCAAUCACAACAUCAAAUUCGAAAAAAUGACACCGCAUUACACUCCAUGAACACAGAAAAACACAAACACACAGACUACAGAAUUAUUGACGAACAACUUCGUAGCAUAGCACCGACACUUCUGAUUGAAGGCGUAUCUGGUGUACGUGUUAGUGUCCACAUCAAACGGCACCGACACAUUGAAUUUAUCGUUUCCUCGACUAUUAUCGGUGUUAAAGUGUCAGUGUCCGGUUUCCAUCAUAUAAAUUAAACGGUAAGCAGUAACACAGAAUAAUUGUUGAUACCUUUAUUGAACGCUAGUCGAUUCCCUACACGAUACGCAUCAACAAGAACCCUAAAAAAUCAACAAUCACAACAAUUCAAACGAAACAAAACAAAACAAGAUUACAGUUAAGCAGAGUGAAAACGCAAUUGUUCCAAUGCAGAAGAGAAAUGAAAAAUUAACCCGUCGACUUCGAGAAGAACGGCGAAGUCAUUCGACGUGAUGUGGCUGUCGUCGUCAUCGGCGGAGAAAACGGCGGCGGUGUGGCGCGGAGAUUUGCCGGGAAAAACGAAAGGGGGAAAUUGAAGAGAAACGGUUACGUUUGGAAAGAAGCGCGUGUUAUUGUUAAAGUUGAAUGUGCGUUGAAUACGAAUGCGUUGGAUAGUUGAACAUGAAGUUGCUAGUGACUGGGUUAUUGUUGCCAUUGGUAACUAACUCAAACUAUGCUAUGCAGCUUAGCUAUUAUUAGCUCAAAUUCUCUAUAAGUAAGAUAUUUUUCAAUGCUGUAUAAAGUCGUAGGUCAUAGACACAUUUUGACAUAAUAUUCUAAUUCUGUUUUGUCUUCUUCUUUCUUUUGAUUAAAUUUUAAUUCUGUUGUUGUAACUUUCAAUUCUUUUUUUAUUUCUUCCUUCUAACAGUUAUCUGAAAUGUUUUACUCGAUCGAGAAACAACGGACUUUAAUAUAAAAAUAGCGUUGAGCAAGGAUAGUGUCAUUAAGAUUCCCUUAUUGGAAAGAAUGAAGAAAACCGUUAUUGCAAUUUUUCUUUUCGGUUUACUUAAUAUUUGUUUUAUGUUUACUUAAUAUUGGUUUGAUGGUUAUUUUAUAAAUAAAGUUUAGCAAUGUAUCCACAAGUGUUUGAUUUAUCGAAAAGGAUGUCAACAUUGUACAUAUCAAAAAAACAUGUCAAUGUAUAAUUGAUGUUGUGACUGAAGUUUGAACUCGGACUCUUCACUUAUGUGUGGAUUUUCAAUGAAAAUUGUGUUUAUGAAACAAAAAAAAGUUUUGCAUUUUUUUCUCAUAAACUAAGGUUAUUUCUUUUGCCCUCAUUGCGCGUGUUGUUGUUACGGUCCAUAAACUCAACUAAGGUAGCAUGUUUCUCUUUCAUUAAGGUUAAUUAAGUUUUUGGUCCCUAUAAAUAUCUGCAGUUUUGUUUUUAAUCCCUAUAAAAAUAAGUCAUACUUUUUAGUCGCUACAAAAUUUUUCAUUAGUGUUUUUAAUCCCUGUUAAAUUAAAAUUUGUUUAAUUAUGCUUAAAAUUUAAAAAAUUUUAAUAAUUUUUUACAUAUUUGUUUAAAACAUUAUAAAAGGUUCCGCCAAAAUAAAUUAGCUCAAAAUUUUAUUUUUAGGUUCAAAUUUUUGUUAGUUUUAUCUUGAAUUUUUGGCGUUUUAAAAAAAUUAUAUUUAAUUUUAAAAAAUUCUAAUUUUUUAUAAAAGAGAUUAUUAUAAUGUUCUUAACAUGUCUGUUAAAAAUCAUUUAAAAAUAUAAAAGUUUAAGUAUAAUUAAACAAAUUUCAAUUUAACAGGGACCAACACAUACUUUUAUUCCUUGUAAAAUUAAAAUUUGCUUAAUUGUGCUUAAACUUUUAAAUUUGUAACAUAUUUUUCACAUACUUACUUAGAAUAUUAUACAAAGUUCCUCCGCAAAAAAGUAACUUAAAAUUUUAUUAUUAGGUCCAAAUUUUCAUUAAUAUAAUCUUGAAAAUUUGGCUUUUAGAAAAAUUCAUAUUUAAUUCAUUACAUGUUAAAAAACUUAAAAAGUUUUACAAAAGAAUGUCUUACGAUGUUAUGAACAUGUAUGUAAAAAAUCUUUCAAAAAUUUAGAAGUUUAAACAUAAUUAAACAAAUUUUAAUUUAACAGGGACUAAAAACACUAACAGAAAAUUUUGUAAGGACUAAAAAGUGUGAUUUAUUUUUAUAGGGACUAAAAACAAAACUGCAGAUAUUUAUAGGGACCAAAAACUUAAUUAACCCUUAAAAAAAUAGAUGUAUUUAUAAUCUCCAAUCCUCUAGCAUUAGAUUGCUAUUAAUGGUUUAGAAGUAUCUAGGUAAGAUAUGAGUAAAGAUCCUCUACAUUUGCUUAAUACUAUUUUUGAUCUCAACUCGCAAUUUUCUUGGGGCAUAAUUCAAAUUCGAGUUUUCUCAAAUUUAAGUCGAACUAAUUACUUGAACCAAAUCGAUUACCAAAUUUGUUUUUAUUAGCAUUAAGCACCAGGUCUAUUAUUUAGUUUGGUUGAUCUUGAAGAACCUCACAAAUUUUUAGCAGUAAGUAUAGUUCCUCAAGAGCCUCAAGUCUUUCUAUAACUAAGUACAUCAUCAAUGCAUGUAGAGUCUGAGAUUUUUUAGCGUUACAUACAUUCACGAGCCUCUAUUUUUUUUUUUUUUUUGAGGGAAAAGUGUUUAAUGCAUUUCAUUAGUAAUCAAAGUUUCAAUACAAUUGGAUAUAUAUGAAAAUAAAUUGUGGGACAAACGAGAAAUGUGGCUUCCCCUACGAGAGUGUGAGCCACCACAUUAGCUUGUCGCCGAACAAACUCCACCCGAGAGUUGGUAAACUUGGACGAGAGCAAAGACCGGGAAGCCGUGAUGAUGUUACCAAAUUCUGUUAUGUCUUCCUGACCCGAAUAUAGAGCAUCUUUUAUGGUUUUAGAGUCGACUUCAAAAUCAAUAUUAUCAAGGUGCAUAUCACUAGCCCAUUGAAGCGCAUGGUAAAGACCCAAAGCUUCCUCAAUGUCAAUCGGAUAAACACCAAUAAAACUUAUUGUUCUGGCCAAAACAAAGACCCCACCUUCUUCACGGAUGCAAAUGUCGAUGCUCGUUUUGUUACGGUGACUAGAGAAUGUCGAUGCUCGUUUUUAGUGCCGGACAUAUUUUUGGUUCCCACUUUCCACAGCCUCAUCUCCAUUUCUUUUUGGUGCCAUCACCUCAAACCUAAGUUUAAGUUUAUAUAAAUUCUAGAAUUAUCAACUUCGUUUCUAUAUCAUCACGUUUCCCUUUCACUUUCGUCUUGUAUUUCCAUUUUCAAUUUCUAACUCUCCGUUUUAUUGCUUUUGGUUUUAUAUCUCACUCUCCCCUUUUAGAAAUCCUUAUAUCACCGUGUUUAUCACAGUUUCCUUUUUGUUUUUAUGUUUAUAUAAUAAAAUGCUCUUAUAUUUGCAUUUUUAUAUUAAAUUUUGUUGCAUUUAUAUAUUUUAUGUUGUUUUUAAAUUUAAAUUUGAAAAAAAAAUAUUAGAUUGUUAUGAAAUUUUUUUAGAAAAAAAUGUUCAGACAAACGAUAAUUAGUCUUUAAAUUUGCUAUAAUUUAAGCAUACAAUCAGAUUUAAAAGAAUCGAGCUAUUAAGGAUAAUUUUACCCAAAAAAAUACGUCCGAUCAAAAAAUUGUUAACACGCAGUUCACUUUGGAAUUGCCUUUAUAUAAUGGUAUAGAGAUUUUAUUAACAUUUUAAAAAUUGUUUUUAAAAUAUAUCCUUUAAAUUACUCCUUUCCUUGCUUCAUUUUUGUGCCUUUAUAUAAUGGUACAGAGAUUUUAUUAACAAUUAGAUUUUAAAAAUUGUUUUAAAAAUAUAUAUACCUUAAAUUACUCCUUUCCUUGCUUCAUUUUUGUAUUAGCUAGCUAAAUUAACCAUUUUCAUGAAGAAGAAAAAAAAAUGAAAGGGUGUAGAGCUUAUUAAUUUGUGGAAGGUCAGCAUAACUACUCAAUCAACUUCAUAUACUUAGUCAUAACCAAGUCCACAUUUGAGUAAAAAAGGAACAAAAACUCAGAUCAGUUUCAUUGCAGUUUACAUAUGACAUUAACUAGUUCAAAUUUACAAUAUGAGCGCAUAAAUAUUAUAAGAUCCAUCCACACAAUGAGUCAACAAUAAAAGCACCCUCCUCUCAUAAUCACCCUUCCUCCAUCCUUGUUCAAUAUCAUCCUCUCUUGUCUGAAAAUCACCAUAAACAAUACAAAAACAACACAAAGUCACCAAUUUAGUCCUCAAAUUUGCAAUACACUAUUAACUUAGUUCCUAAAAAUAACAAAAUUUCAUUGAAUUAAAAAAAUUCUCACUCACAUUUUAUGUUUGACAAUUAUAGUACUAAAUUGAAUGGUUAAAAAGAUACUAAAAUAGCAUGAUCUACAAUUCAUUUUCAAAUAACUUAGAUAUGGUCUAACUCAACUCUUACAAAACAGAUUUGUGAGGUUAGAACUAUUGAUCACUUAUAAACACAUUUUCAAGCGUAUAUUAGUGUGAGACUAUUUAUUAACCAUAAUUGUAAAAUGUUAAUCAAAUUCGUCCUCUAAUUUCAACAAUGUGAGGAAUAAACUUGUACAAUACUACAAUUUAACCAAUAUAUGGAUAUUUACUCAAUCUCAAUGACUAAAUUAGCAAUUGAAUAAUAAAAAUUUCAUACAAUAAAUAAAAACUUAAAAGAGAGUUUGAGUUGAACCUUGUUGUAAACAAAAGAAACUUAGACAUCCUUGGCAAUGAGUUCACCAUUCACCAACUCUCUAUAAGCAGCAAUAGGCCAACUGAACCCUCUAAAAACCAAUCUAGAAGCAAGAGGAACAUCAAU
rnacentral:lncRNA from 1 species